GUUUUUUUUUUUUUUUGUGUUUUUAUAUUAUUUUUUUAAUAUUGAAGUGGGCCUAUAUUGACACGUGGCAUUCAGUAAUUGUCCACAUGGGCACAACGUCAUCAGUUAACAGAAGUUCUAACGGAAAACUUAACAGAUGUAUAAGACUGUCCCAAAAUUAACACUUUAGGUAUGACUCUGGGACGAAAAAAACUUCAUGUACUAAAUGUUGAAAACUACGAAACUUGAGGGUAGUAAACUGAGAUUAACCGUUUCGUUUUUUUUAAUGGAUUUAUUAACUCAAGCUUUUUUACACUAACCUUCUAGUCCGACCCCCUUUCGCUGGCCCAAGUUCGAUUGGUAAACCGUCUGGUUCAGCCGAUUCAAUCACUUAACCAUCCAAUUUAGCCAGUUAAACCCGGUUCGUUGGGUCAACUGUCUGGCCUAGCGGGUCAGUUUGGGUCCGGCAGUAUUCUUCAAAUCCAUUAGUUUAUAAUUAAUAGUUCGUUUUGCGCCUCAACAUAUGGUUCUGUUACCCUCCCAUAGACUGCUAUAAUUUAUACGAGCGUAAUUAGAUAGUUCUUUGCUCCUGUGGACGAUGUGGGACAACAGUUUGGUUUCCCACCUCUUUGCUAACUCCCAAUGUUUUUGCUCAAAUCCCACAGAUCCUUGUCCUUAUUUAGCUAUUUCGCACCAAAAUUCUUCCCCACUGAAAUAUCAGCUCCAUGAAAGAUGAGCUCCAAUUUAAAACACGACUAAUCCGUUCCCGUUCAGGACCAUCUGUCCAGUACGUUCUGGUUCAAAUCCGAUAUGGUAAGUCUAUUUGGUCUGUUUCGUUUGAUUGGCUCGGUCCAGUCCGGUCGGCCCGGCACGGCCGGCUUAGUAAGUGCCAACCAUUGAACUUGAUUUGCCAAUAAAUAUUAGUCUCUUGUGUACCUAUCAUGGUAAAUGGCAACCAUUAAACUAGGCUGGUUUAGUAACUGUUUCGUAUUUAAAUUUUACGGGCUUUUCUUCCACUAUUCUUCUAUUUUCCUCAGUUCUGAUGAACAUGGAAAUGUAAAAGCACACUUUUAAGUUCACUGGGACCACGAAAAUACUCGAUGGAAAGCACCAGUUUGAGGACAAAGAUAGGGUGCCACGAAAUAUUCCUGGUGGCAAUGUGACAUCUUGUGGGAAAAAAAAUAUCACAUUCAAGUCCAGUGUGGAGUUUAUAGAAGGUUUUAAUAAGAAGAGCGAAAACAAGUGCAGGCUCGACAUUAAUAAGUUUGCGGACCUAACUAACGAGGAAUUUCAGGCGACGGGUCAAGGCUACAAGAGGAUACACCUCCCAGAGAUCAUGUACAACUCUUCCAAAGCAGCUCCAGAUAACAAUUUUCGAUAUGAAAAUGUCGACGUGCCAAAAUCUAAGGAUUAUUUUUCAAUUGGCGCUGUGAGUCUGUGACCACGGUCAAAUACCAAGGGCAAUGUGGUAAGCAUGCAAGAUUAAGCUAUCUCUAUGAGGUUUUACUUUCAUAGAUCAUGUAAUAUGUGUUCUUGUUUGAUUGUUUGAAAAUAAACGAUGCGUUUGUUUCCAAAAUCUGAACCUGGAUACCGCAUUCAACCAAUAAUUAAUAUGUUUAUAGUCGAUAUGGCUCCGGUCAAAAGCCAAGGUUAUGACUGUGGUAUGCAUGCAUUAAGCAAUUUCUAGUCAUUUGCACGAGAUAAUACAUGCAUGUAAUGUAAUUUUUUUUUCUUUUCUUAUACUGAUUAUAUUAAGACAGUGUAAGAUGUUUAUGUUACUUUGCCAGAUUUUCAAUUUAAGGGGCUUUUAGAGAUGAGGGUUUGUCAAAGAUUAUUUUUAGAAUAUAACUUGGAAGGUUUUUAUCUAAAAAAUAUCUUUUAUUCUAAUGCAUUAUGAUAUGUCACUUAUAAUAAAACCACAGGUUUUACUACUAUUAACAAGAAUGCCAUAUUUAAUGUCUACAAUGUAACCUCUCCACCAUUAAAGUUUGAAAAGGUAACUGUAGAUUCAUUAUCACCCAUAACCUCUAUCUUCAUUGUCUAAAAAAUGCUAUCUUUAUUGUCUAUAACUACUUACUUCUUUUUAUUUAUUUAUUUAUUUUUAUAUUUAUUCAAAUUUGAUAUUGGGUGAAGAAUGCACUAAUUUAGGUCCGAUAGUUUUGGUAUAGUCAAUUAGGUAAGCUAUAUAGUUUAGGUAUGAUAGAUUCAAUACGGUCAAUUUGGUACGAUUAGUAUUUUUUAUGUUUUAGUUCACUAGGUUUGAUAAAUUACGUACGUUAUAUAGUUUAGGUCUGAUAGAUUUGGUACGGUCAAUUUGGUUCCAAUUUGUAUUUUUAUGUUUUAGUUCAGUAGGUCCGAUAGAUUCAGUACGAUCAAUUUGGUAUGGUUUGUAUUUUUUAUGUUUUAGUUCAUUAGGUCUGAUAGAUUCAAUAUGAUCAAUUUGGCACAAUUUGUAUUUUUAUGUUUUAGUCCAUUAGGUCAGGCCAAUUUGGUACGGUUUGUAUUUUUAUGUUUUAGUCCAUGAGCGGUAGGUCUCGGGUUCGAGACUUGGAAGCAGCCUCUCCAUAAAUGGGGGUAAGGCUAGCCGACAUUCACCUCUCCCAGACCCUGCGUAAAGCGGGAGCCUUGUGCACUGGGUACGACCUUUUACGACCAGUCCUUUAGGUCUAAUAAUUUAUGCAUAGGCCUUAUACAUUAGUUAUGAUUUACAAAAUGCUUUUCAAUUUUUUGGUAUGUUUGAAUCCCUUAAAAGGGUAACAUAGGCAAACUACAAUAAAUUCAUAAAAAUGUAAUUAAAUUCUGACAUGGACACGAGUCAAUGGACUAUUGUUAGUUUUUCAUCUUACAUACGGUACUAUUAAAAACAUGGUCUUUUUUAGGGAUUAAAAUGAAGUUUUUAAACAAUUUAUCUAACUCAAUGAUAUUUAUAGGAUGUUGUUGGGCGUUCGCAUCAGUGGCAACCGUAGAAGGGCUUAACAAACUCAAAACAGGAAGCCUAAUUUCACUAUCAAAACAAGAGCAGUUAUGAUCACGGUUGCGAUGGAAGUAAUUCAAAGGUUGCGUAUGACUACAUGAUCAAACGCAACAAAAGCCUUGGAACUAAAGAUAAUUACCCUUACCAGGCUAAAGAUGGAGGAAUUUGCAGAACUACUACUGUUGCUCAUGCAUCUGGUGCCAUAACCAUAACCGGCUACGAGAAUGUGCCUGCAAACAACGAAGAUGCAUUGUUGAAAGCUGUUGCGAACCAGCCGGUUUCUGUUGCCAUUGAUAUUAAGUAUUUUAUACCUUGAUAUUAAGCCAUGAAGUGACUGCAGUUGGAUACGGUACUAGUAAUGAUGGGACUAAGUAUUCGCUGCUCAAGAAUUCUUGGGGCAAAGAGUGGGGGGAGAGUGGAUACCUUAGAUUACAAAGAGAUGUGCCCACCAAGGAAGGUCUAUGUGGCAUUGCUAUAGAAGCUACCUAUCCAACCGCAUGAUAACUUAAAAGGAGUAUUUUAACUUUAAUUCUUGAAAAAGAUUGAAAUUUAAUAAAAACAUGGUGUUAGAUUAUAGUCCUUGAUGUGUUCUUAAUUCAAAUUAAUUAAUUUGUAUUUUAUUUAAUGUCUCCUAUUAAAUGUUUGAAUUUAUUAACAUACACAUUUUAAUUUAUUUUUUGAUCAAAAUUUUUUAUUUUAUUAAUUUUAUUUAACAUUCUUUAAACUUGAAAGACUCAAUUAAUGUACCUAAAUGUGUUUUUUUUUUUAACAAAUGAUAUUAUCUACACUAAGAGAAUGGGAGUCAGCUUAGCCUUACAAUGGGCUAGAAAUAAUGUGAUUCGAUUUCGCCUUUGGCAAAAAUCGAACCUAAGAUCUCUCACUUGCAAGUGAAGAGGAAUAUCACUAGACUGUAGUAGUAAGUGGCGAUUAAUGUACCUAAAUGUUAGUACUGAAAUGUAUUAUACUAAAUUAAUGUACCUAAAUGUUUGUACCGAAAUGUAUUCUAUUGAAUUAAUGUACCAAAAUAUUUGUUACCGAAAUGUAUUAUAUUAAAUUAAUAUACCAAAAUGUAUGCGCCAAAAGGUAUUAUAUUGAAUUAAUGUACCUAAAUGUGUGUACCGAAAUGUAUACACCAAAAUAUAUUAUAUUGAAUUAAUGUAUCGAAAUGUUUGUACCGAAAUGUGUGUACCAAAAUGUGUGUACCGAAAUGUAUUAUUGAAUUGAAUGUAUCUAAAUGAAAAAGACAAAGUAUAUCAAGAUAUAUUGUUUGACAAAAAUUAGUUUAUCUAAAUGUUUACAACAAAAUAUAUAAUAACUCCGACGAAAAGAAAAAAGAAGGCGUUAAAGAUCCUCUUGGCCCAACCUUAGACACUCGAUUUCCACGGGCGAUUGCAUCGCAAGGACUUUCUUGAUUGGCUAAGUGGCGUAGAGAAGUUAUAUUAUGAUAAAUGAAAUAAAAAUGAAAAUGACAAUAAAAUAUAAUUAAUACAUUAAAAUUAGGUAGUAAAAAAGAAAAUAAUUAAAACGUCAAAAUAUAAUUAAUAAAUGAGGUGAUUAAUGUAUAAAGUGACUAAAAUUAGAUUUGAUCUUACUCAUAGUUUUAGUCAAAAUGUCAUUUUUACUACUAGGGAUUACAAUGAAGUUUCCUAAUUCCUAUAACUUGAACCACCUGCAAUAUUAGCUGCUGCUAAUUCGUGAUUAGUAGGAUGGUUUAAUUUAAUUAGGUGAAUUAUUAUUUUCUUUAUGUUUCUUGUUCAUCACUUGUUUACUAUUGCAUACCACACAAGCAUGCAACCAAGCUAGAACUCAACAUGAUAAAUGUAGCGUCCAUGGUGUUUUUGGUCGUGUUGGAUUGACUCUCUCCAUUAUUUUUUGCGAUGCAAGUUCUUUUUCAUGAUCAACAUCAGAUUAAAGAAGCAACUGGAGUACCUGCUCAAUGCAGCUACUAAUUCAAUUUUUUUUUCUGGUUUACUUAAUUUAGCUCAUUAUAUUCUAUAUGUUUCGUGUUAUUUACUAGUAAAAUGCUAUCGCUUUAUCAAUGGAGAAGUAUUGUUGGAUUCCAUGUCGAUAAAACUCCUGAUAGCUUUGCUUUCCAGGGCUCAUGCCCUUUGUCAUAAACCUCCAAACAAACAAAUCCUAAAGCCAAAAUUGUCGAAACCCCAAAGCCAAAUGCCAAAACGCGAAAUCUCCAAACUCCAAACAUCGAAUUUGAAGGGGUUUAGGGCAACUGGAUCCUAAAUUGUUAAUGCAUCUCUGACAUUCAGAAAAAAAUAAACACAUUGAGUGAGGAGGGUACAACAACAACAACAACAACAAAGUUUUUUCCCACUAAGUGGGGUCGGCUAUAUGAAUCCUAGAACGCCAUUACGCUUGGUUUUGUGUCAUGUCCUCCGUUAAAUCUAAGUACUCUGAGUCUUUUCUUAGAGUCUCUUCCAACGUUUUCCUAGGUCUUCAUUUACCCCUUCGGCCCUGGACCUCUGUCCCGUAGUCACAUCUUCUAACCAGAGCGUCAGUAGACCUUUUUUGCACAUGUCCAAACCACCGUAACCGAUUUUCUCUCAUCUUUCCUUCAAUUUCGGCUACUCUUACUUUACCUCGGAUAUCCUCAUUUCUAAUUUUAUCAUUUCUUGUGUGCCCACACAUCCAACGAAGCAUCCUCAUCUCGGCUACACCCAUUUUAUGUACGUGUUGAUGUUUCAUCGCCCAAUAUUAUGUGCCAUACAACAUCGCUAGCCUUAUUGUCGUCCUAAAAUUUUCCCUUGAGCUUCAGUGGCAUAUGACGGUCACACAACACGCCGGAUGCACUUUUCCACUUCAUCCAUCCAGCUUGUAUUCUAUGGUUGAGAUCUCCAUCUAAUUCUCCGUUCUUUUGCAAGAUAGAUCCUAAGUAGCGAAAGCGGUCGCUCUUUGGUACUUCCUGAUCUCCGAUCCUCACCCCUAACUCAUUUUGGCCUUCAUUUGCACUGAACCUGCACUCCAUAUAUUCUGUCUUUGAUCGGCUUAGGCGAAGACCUUUAAAUUCCAACACUUCUCUCCAAAGGUUAAGCUUCUCAUUUACCCCUUCCUGAGUUUCAUCUAUCAACACUAUAUCGUAUACGAAAAGCAUACACCAAGGAAUAUCAUCUUAAAUAUGUCCCGUUAACUCAUCCAUUACCAAUGCAAAAAGGUAAGGACUUAAGGAUGAACCUUGAUGUAACCCAACAGUUAUGGGGAAGCUUUCAGUUUGUCCUUCAUGAGUUCUUACAGCAGUCUUUGCUCCAUCAUACAUAUCCUUUAUAUCUUGGAUAUAUGCUACUCGUGCUCCUUUCUUCUCUAAAAUCCUCCAAAGAAUGUCUCUUGGGAUCCUAUCAUACGCUUUUUCCAAAUUUAUAAAGACCAUGUGUAAAUCAUUUUUCCUAUCUCUAUAUCUUUCCAUCAAUCUUCGUAAGAAAUAUGUUGCCUCCAUAGUUUAGCGCCCUGGCAUGAACCCGAAUUGGUUGUCCGAAACCCGUGUCUCUUGCCUCAAUCUAUGCUCAAUAACUCUCUCCCAAAGCUUCAUUGUAUGACUAUAGUUCAUGCAAUUUUGUACGUCGCCCUUAUUCUUGUAGAUAGGCACCAAAGUGCUCUUUUGCCACUCAUUUGGCAUUUUCUUCGUUUUCAAAAUCUUAUUAAAAAUGUUUGUGAGUCAUGCUAUACCCGUCUCUCCCAAGACUUUCCACACUUCAAUUGAUAUAUUAUCUGGGUCCACUACUUUUCUAUGCUUCAUCUUUUUCAAAGCUACAACCACUUCUUCCUUCCUGAUUCAGCGGUGAAAUGAGUAGUUUCUACACUCUUUUGAGUUACUCAACUCCCCCAAAGAAGUACUCCUUUCAUGUCAUUCAUUGAAAAGAUUAUGAAAAUAACCUCUCCAUCUGUCUUUGACCGCGUUCUCUGUAGCAAGAACUUUUCCAUCCUCAUCCUUGAUGCACCUCACUUGAUUUAGGUCCCUUGUCUUCUUUUCCCUUGCUCUAGCUAGUUUAUAGAUAUCCAACUCUCCUUCUUUGGUAUCUAGUCGCUUAUACAUAUAGUCAUAAGCCGUUAGCUUAGUUUCUCUCACAGUUUUCUUCGCCUCCUGCUUCGCCAUUCUAUACCUUUCACCAUUUUCAUCGGUCAUAUCCUUGUAUAGGGCUUUACAACAUUCCUUCUUAGCCUUCACCUUUUUUUGUACCUCCUCAUUCCACCACGAAGAUUCCUUUUGGUGUGGAGCAAAACCCUUGGACUCUCCUAAUACCUCUUUUGCUACUUUUCGGAUACAACUAGCCAUGGAAUCUCACAUUUGGCUAGCUUCCCCCUCUCUAUCCUACACGCAUUGGGUGAUUACUUUCUCUUUGAAAAUGACUUGUUUUUCUCCUUUUAGAUUCCACCAUCUAGGCCUUGAGCACUUUCAGGUCUUGUUCUUUUUUCUCUCAAUGUUGAUUAGCCAAGCUCUCUCCCGGUACCGUAUAACUUUGCAAUCCUUGCAAGUUAUACGAUCCCCCAUCCUCAUUAGAAGAGAAUCUAUUUGUGUUUUUUCGUUCAAAUAUAUGAUUGUAUACAUGUUAGAAUUGAAUACAAACUACAAACACAUUGAAAGAUUGAGCAUUCAAGACCCAGAGCUCUGUGAAUUGACCUCCAUUACAAGCAAAUAAUCCAAUUAUAUAAAUGGAUGAGAAGCUAAACUCAUGGCAUUUCCUCACAUAAUCACACACCUCAAACAAAUUACAAUCCCAAAACGUCACAACCCACUGGAUGCAUCUUCUAAUCUAAUUAUGUUGUCACCCGCGCCCAGAAGAACGAAGAACACCAAGACUUAGAAUGAAGAUACCAUCACAAUGUUGAAAUUUAGGAUUAUUUUGUUAUUUGAAUUUGGGCUUAGUCUGUUAGUAUUAGGGUUAGGGUUUCGUUUUCUUGCUUAUUGGGGUUAGGUUAGUUCUCUAUAUAUAUGAUGUUUUGCAACUCGUAGAAUAAACAAGUCAUUUACAAUUUAGCCUCUUGGAGUUUUGUAGCCGUUUCGGCAUUCUCGUUUAUUUAAUAAUACUAUUAUUUUGUUAGUCUUGUUCGUUACACACUCUGAUAUUUAACUUGGUAUCAGAGCAGGUUUGAUUUUUUCGGAUUUAAUUUGCUUCUGUUUGUUCAUAUUAAUUUGAUGUUUUUGUCCAGUUUCGAUCCUUGAAACUUUUUUCGUUUUCUAGUUUGAGUUACCCUUUGUCGUUACAAAAAAAUAUAUAUAUCUGUUAAAGUUUGAAGUCGGAGUCGUGCCGAGCCACCAGCCGCUGCCCUUGCUGUCGCCCACCGUUGUGUUCGUUCAUGUUCCCUUCGCAAAGAUGAACCCACCAACCUGUAUUGCACCUACAUCAGACCCGCGCCACUCACAGCUGCCUGCAUCAGGUCACCACCUACACACUGCCUUCAACCCGCACCAGAAUGCUGCCUGCAACCCGAACCCGACCUGCCGAUCUAACCGAUCCACCACACCACUGCUAUACCUCUAUCUCGCACCGCUGCUGUACCUACUGCCAUCCCUACCUUCAAAUGAUUCGUUCCCUGACCUGCUGUUGCACAUCUGUCGUUAUGCCGACUAAGCCAUCCUGACCAGAUUUGCUGAACCAACCCUCCACCCCGCUACGUGUUGUGCCUUGGCCCGUUAUCUCACCAACUUAUAAACCAACAGUUGAACAAUUUAAAAUACAAGAAAUAAAGACACCGAGAAAUUUACGAGGUUCGGCAAAAACCUGCCUACGUCCCCGGAGAUAUUACUCUUCACUAUGAGAAUAACUAGUACAAGAUACACUUGAGUUAAAUCGACAUAACCCAAACCCCAAUCCCUUGUACCCUCACAGAAUUUUCCCAAGAGUCUUACUCUCCCCAAGAGCUUCUCACUAUCACUCUAUAUUUUCUCUCACUUGUGUUUUCCUUUGGAUGCUCUCCCAAUCCUCACAAUCGACAAGCUCACUCCAUUUUGUGUGUGAAAAAUGCCUUCACUUAUAGACAUGCACCAUCAAUUAUGUCAACCACACAAAACAUGCUUCACAAAAACAUGCUUCCUCAAAACAUGCUUCCACAAAACAUGCUUCCACAAAACAUGCUUUCAAAGUCCACAAAGUUGAGAGGAAAUGUUUGCCAACUCAUAAUUAUAUGAGCCAAACACAACAAUCUCCACCUUGGCGAAUAUACUGUGCAAAAAUCCUUGCACCCAUCACCAAAGUCCAUUGGCCUUACGUACCAGCAUACACACCCUGAAUCAACCUCGUUGGUCCUGUUCCGAUUCAGUCACUGCCAAUGCAUGUGCAGCUGCUGCAAGCUAAAAAUCACCAUUUAGCUUCAGACAGGAUCUCGACAUAUCCUCGUCUCCUCCAGCAGGUUUUCCUCCUCUUCAUUGUCUGCAACCUGGAAACUCGUCAGCGCGCCCGUUUCCAGUAACAACCCAUCGAGCCAGACAAAAUUCCCACACUUCCUCCUACCUCAUGAUCAUCUCAUCACCUGUGAAUCCCAUAGCUCCACCUGUUGCAAAACCCUUGCAACACUUGAGACUAAACAUCACCAGGAGAAGUGUUGCUUCGAGUACCUAGAGGGCAUACUCGAAGUCUUCCGCCACAAAAUUGCUACAACCCGGACCAAGAUCAUCCUUUCUUUUUCUCAAAGGACAAUUUUUCUUUUUAUGCCCGAAUUCUUUGCAGUUGUAGCAUUGUAGACCUUUGCCUCCGGAACCGGAUUUGAACCUGUUGUCUCUCUCAGAUCCUUCUCCCAAUUUUCUUCCACGAUUCCAACCUUGAACAGCUAAAGCAGUCUCGUGCCCACCAUCAACAAUGGUCUUCUUCUUUUGUGUAUCAUAAGACACCAAAGAAGCUUGCACCUGCUCCAAACUUACUGUAUCUUUUCCAUGCAGUAAGGUUGUCACAAGAUUUUCAUACGAAUUUGGAAGUGAGGUAAGAAGUAAGAGGGCUUUGUCUUCUUCCUCAACCUUAACAUCAACUUUCCGCAAUUGAUCCAAGUAUCCGUUGAACUCAUUCAUGUGGUCCAUGAGAUUCCCACCUUCAUCCAUCUUCAGCUUGUACAGUUUCCGCUUCAAAUGCAACUUGUUGGUCAAACUCUUAGCAAUAUAGAGUUUUUCCAACUUCUCCCAAAGUGCAGGCGCAGAAUCUUCAUCCAUAACAUUAUUGAUAAUGUUAUCAGCUAUACAGUGUCGAAUCGUGCUAACACAACGCGCCUCCAGCUCCUCCCACUGGUCAUUUGUCAUUUCUUGAGGCUUCCUAUCUUUUCCCUUCAAAGCUCUAGCCAAGCCUUGUUGAGUCAAGACAUCCUUUACUCUCAUCUGCCAAAGAGUAAAACUGCCUUUCCCAUUAAACUUCUCAACUGAAAAUGACAUGUUUGUAGUCAUCAUGGUGAAUAAAAAAUUUGAACCGUCAAUGAACCAAAGCUUCCAACAAAGCUCUGAUACCAAUUGUUGUGCCUUGGCCCGUUAUCUCACCAACUUAUAAACCAACAGUUGAACAAUUUAAAAUACAAGAAAUAAAGACACCGAGAAAUUUACGAGGUUCGGCAAAAACCUGCCUACGUCCCCGGAGAUAUUACUCUUCACUAUGAGAAUAACUAGUACAAGAUACACUUGAGUUAAAUCGACAUAACCCAAACCCCAAUCCCUUGUACCCUCACAGAAUUUUCCCAAGAGUCUUACUCUCCCCAAGAGCUUCUCACUAUCACUCUAUAUUUUCUCUCACUUGUGUUUUCCUUUGGAUGCUCUCCCAAUCCUCACAAUCGACAAGCUCACUCCAUUUUGUGUGUGAAAAAUGCCUUCACUUAUAGACAUGCACCAUCAAUUAUGUCAACCACAAAACAUGCUUCCACAAAACAUGCUUCCUCAAAACAUGCUUCCACAAAACAUGCUUCCACAAAACAUGCUUCCUCAAAACAUGCUUCCACAAAACAUGCUUCCUCAAAACAUGCUUCCACAAAACAUGCUUCCACAAAACAUGCUUUCAAAGUCCACAAAGUUGAGAGGAAAUGUUUGCCAACUCAUAAUUAUAUGAGCCAAACACAACACUACGGUCUUUUGCUUCCUCGCUUGAAAAGCAUGUAACCACACCUCGGAGUCUGAGUUCAGAAUGUUGGUUUGCACUUGUUUUGCACUCAGUUUGCUAACGUGAACUGAAGAAAAAGAGAAUGGAGUUGAAGCUUUGGUCCUUGUUGAUUGAAGCUAUCGUUGGGCUUGUAUUGGUUGAUUUGGAAUGAAAUUUGUUUGCCAAUCACUCGAGUGCUUGAACUUGUGACCACCAGAGUGAUAAGUUUUGUUUUUUAUUCGUUCGUUGCUGCAGUUGGGAUAUAAGAAUUUAGUUCGUUUAGUGACAGAGUCCAUACUUCCAACAUUUGGUUGCCAUAAUUUGUUGAUUGCUGGAAUUGCUUGUUCGCUCGCUCGCCUGCUCGCUUGGAUUGUUCGUUUGCUAGCUUGAAUCGCUUGCCUUGUUUUGUCUGCCUAACGGAGCUUGCCUUGUCGUGUCCGCCUAAUGGAUCUUGUCUUGUCUUCUCCGCCUAACGGAGCUUGCAUCCGCAUCCGCUUGUUGGCAAACUCAUGACAUGUACCGCCAUGAGUUUGACGGGGGGUGUUGGAAUUUAGGAUUAUUUUGUUAUUUGAAUUUGGGCUUAGCCCGUUAGUAUUAGGGUUAGGGUUUCGUUUUCUUGCUUAUUAGGAUUAGGUUAAUUCUCUAUAUCUAUGAUGCUUUGUAGCUCCUAGAAUAAACAAGUCAUUCACAGUGUAGCCUCUUGGAGUUUUAUAGUCGUUUCAGCAUCCUCGUUUAUUUAAUAAUACUAUUAUUUUGUUAGUCUCGUUUGUUGCAUAUUCUGAUAUUCAACUCACAAUGGUUUUGAGUCACUAAGCAUCUGUUAUUGCCUGAGAACUCCGUUUGAGCUGAAGAUAAAGUUCUCUUCUCCGGCAAUGGUGGAAUUCAGGCCUCCAACCAUUGUUCACUGAGUGAACAUCAUUGCUUCACUCAUUUGGUUGCUCAAACUCCGGAAGAACCUUCGCCUUUCUCUCCUUCCUUCUCUUCCUCUCGUCCUCGCGCUCCUUCCUCAGCCAACUCUUGACUGUCCUCUGCAUACCAAACCCAAAUCCAAUCUCAGUAAAUCCAAUCAUACGGUUACAAAAAAAUAAUAAUAAUAAAUAAAUUACCCUUUUGACUCACCAUUAGUGACAACUUGGAGAUCUCCCUAACUUUCUCCAUUGGCAUUGCUAGCUGCAACUUCCCAUUCGCAACAUAAGCGAUAUGCAAGGGUCAAUCUUCCAACCCGUCAAAUAUAUGCGUGGCGUAAAUGAUCGUGGCGCCUCGUUCUUCGCAUUCCUUCUUCAGGAACUUGAGAAGGCCAGCUCUUGCUAGGACAUCGAGGUCCACCGUUAUCACGUCUAGCAGAAGAACCUAUUUGGAUUCAGAAACAAAUCAUCAAACACUUGGCAUGCGUAAAAAAAUACACCAUCAAAACUGUGAAAAAUGGACGUUGACUACCUUGUAUGGCUUGAGCAGACCCAUACAGAUUUGCACUCGUCUUCUCUGACCAUCGGACACCUUGUGCAACCGCCAUGAAAGAUCAAUAUUCAAAACCUUUAUCAGCUCUGAUCUCCUUUCUGGAUCGAUCCCCGCCACCCCAUUGAUAAACUUAUCUGCCGAAACGUCCAUUUGAAUCGGGACAUCAAACCCAGCGAACGCUACAUCUCGCCGCCACUCUCCGCCGAGAUACGAGAGGUCACCGGAGCCGGUCAAGGUGGUGUCGUGAAACGCCGACCUUCCGAGCACGCGAACCAUGUGGGGCUCGACCAUGUGCUUGCCGCCCAGGAUCUUCAAGAUCGUGGUUUUCCCCGCGCCGUUGGAUCCCACGAGGAGGCAUCGGUCGCCGGCGUUGAGUGUGAGACUGAAGUCCUCGAUCAGCGGCUUGGAGCCAGGCGGCGGGUGGCCAUUGAUUCCUGGGUAGUUGAAUUUUAAGCCGCUGAGAGAGAGAUGAGAUUAGAGAGAGAGAUGAGAUUAGGAGAGAGAAAGUGUGUGUGCCGACAUGAACGUGACGGAUUCUUUAAAAAUUUCGGCGAUGGGACGAGUUUGGAAGUCGACUCAGUGGAGGAGGCGUGGACAGCUCCCAGUCACAAACUCGGAACUCGGAAGCUACGAACUCGGUAGUUGGUAGUUGGUAGUUUGCCAUGUCAUCCAAUGAAAAGCAGACACGUUGCUGCAUUUACACAAACAAAUAAGGGUUCGGAUCCGGACACGGGUUCGGGUCGGACCCAACUUCUAGGUUGCGGUAACUGGAUCACAAGUCUUCUCUCCUAUACUCCUGAAUCUGGACUGAAGGUGUUUUUCUUGGAUUCCGAAAUAGCCCUUGGAAAUGGCAGCAAUUUACAGUCUCUACAUCAUCAACAAAUCUGGCGGCUUGAUCUACUACAAGGUAACAAAACCCUAGAGAUUUCAAUUUUCCCAUUUAUUUUCCUCUUUUUUCUCAGCAACCAAACAUGAAAGUUAACGAAUUUCGAUUCUUCUUUCGGAAACAAAAUUAGGAUUACGGGUCGGCCGGAAGGAUGGACACUAACGAUACCUUGAGGGUUGCGAGCUUGUGGCACUCGAUGCACGCCAUUUCUCAGCAGCUGUCGCCGGUAUCGGGCUGUUUCGGAAUCGAACUCCUUCAAGCUGACACCUUCGAUCUUAAUUGCUUCCAAUCACUCACUGGUACAUUUCAAAGUCUUGACCUUUUUCUCUUUUUCUAGAAUUUGUACUGUAAUUUAAUGUGUUUAGGACUAAUUUGCAAUUGAAAUAUUGAAGUCUCACUUAAAUUUAAUUGAUUUCAAAUUUGCAGAUUGUAAGUUUUGUGUAGAAUGUAGAAGGUAAAGUUAGUGAGCCUUUGAAUUGGGUGAGCUUAAGUUGAGAAGAUUUUGUAUCGCGGAAUAAAUUGGCUAUCUAUCUGUUGCUAGUCCUAUUUCUGAAUUCUGUUGUGCAUUGCAGUAGUUUAGACGGAGAACAUGACACAGAAUCGAGCGCAAUGGCGUUCUAGGAUUCAUAUAGCCGACCCCACUUAGUGAGAAAAGGCUUUGUUGUUGUUGUUGUUGUUGUAUUGCAGUAGUUUAGAACCAAUUUAGGUUAGAAUCUAGCGGAUGACGAUUAUUUCGCGGAGCGGAGGAAUAGAUUCAUUACUGAGGUGAAUGCUAAAUAUUGUCAUCGAGCAAGUUGAUUUGUUCAAUGUCUGACACAGCUAAUGGCAGUGUUCUUGUAAGCCAAGUGUAAGAUUUAGGCAACUUAUAUCUUGUGGUUCUGUAAUUUGGAAGAUGGGUGCACAACGAGUGUUUCGCAAGUGGGGUGACUGCUAAAUAUUGGGAUUGAGUGAGUUGAUCUGUUAACUGACAUAACUAAUCGUGGUGCUUUUGUACGCCAUUUGGUGUCAACAACAACAUCUAUCUUGCGGUUCUGUAUUUUGAAGAUGAGUUAUGGACACGAGUUUUCCUCUACGUAAUCCUGUGUGAUGUUAUCGAUUUCCACAUAACUAGGAUCUUCUUUGUUCUGGUUAUAGAAAGGGUGAAACUUUUUUUUUUUUUUUUUGCUCGUUCUAGUUUCUAUAUGCUAGAUCACAACACUGUACAUUUUACACAUCUUAACAGCCACUAUACUUGAAUUUCAUAAGGCGAAUGAGUUGGUUUAGUAUCCUGGAUAUUGACUCGGAUCCAUCUGCCUCGUUUGGAAUUUGUUCAGCCGGAAGUUACUGGUUGUUUGAGUGUUGACAAGUUUUAUUGUUUCUGAUUUUAGAGAAAUUGAGUCUCUGUUACGUUAGGCUUGGCCUUUUCAUUCCUUUUGAAUUGAGACAUUCUUAUCGAGCAGGAUGUUGGUUUCAAUGACAUUCUUUUCAUUCCUGUGGCUGUUUAAUUUAUCCUGGGAAGAGAACAUUUUUCUGGAAAUUUUGAAGAAUGUCUUGGAUUGUGAAAGUGAUGAUUUAUAUUUUCACUAUUUGCAGGGACAAAGUUCUUUGUUGUCUCUGAGCCUGGGACACAGCACAUGGAAGGUCUCUUGAAACAUAUCUAUGAGUUGUACACGGAUUACGUCUUGAAGAAUCCCUUCUACGAGAUGGAGAUGCCUAUACGAUGCGAGCUCUUCGACAUCAACUUAACACAGGCUGUACAGAAGGAUCGUGUUGCAUUGUUGGCCCGAUGAUCUGCCUGAGAAUUUGUAUGGUAUCUGUGGUUUACAAUCAAUAUCUUUUGUAUGGUUUUAGCUCACCUUAACUUUGGUGUUGGUAAUCAAUCAGAUAUGGGCAUUGACUAACUCAAGUUUUAAUCCCAAAUCGCCGUGUAUUCAUUUCCAGUUAAAGAUAACAAAGGCUGUUAUGUGUUUAUGCGUUCUGGUUAAACCAAAAGAGGGUAAAAAAACAAUUUGGUAUUCUAUCAUAAAAUAAAAUCAUGAGAGGCAAUGUAAUUUCACACAUUAAAUUUUACUCUUUUUUUUUUUUCAAACCUCAUCCACAUGUAAAAUUAACUCACAUUUUCUCUCACAUUUCUCUCAAACUUCUCUCUUUGUCAUAUAUUUUCUUCAUUUUAAAUUUUUUAUAUUCACACACACCUAAUGUGUGAGUUUCAUCUUUUUUCUUUCUUUUUUUUUUUUUGGUCUGAAAUAUAAAUUUCAUUAAUCCGAAAGAAGGUUAGAGGCUAACACAUAGCAAGGCAAAAUAACCCAAAUAUAUUGAGGGAAAAUAGAUAUAUAAAAGUCUAGCCCAAUUAAAUAAGUAAAAACGAAAACCCACAUCUAAAAAGAGUAAACUGUCGGUUUACCCCCUGAACUUUCACCUCACUUUCGAUUUCCCCCCUGAACUUUUCCAUUGGAAAAUUAAGGACUCAAACUAAUUUUUUUAGCCAAUUUGCCCCCUACCGUUAGUUUUUCAUAUAUUCCAUCCAUAUUUCCGUUAAGUGAGACCAUGUGCACAACAUGUGAGGGUAGUUAAGUUAUUUCACUCUUAAAAAUGAUUAAAAAACUGAAAAUAAUAAAAAAAGCAAAACUUUCCCUCUAUUUUUUCCCGCUAAUUCAUAUCCUCGAUUUUAUUUUUCCCUCUCAUUCCUAUGCAUGAGAAAUGACAUAUGGUGUUAUUGUCUACCAUUUUUAUUUUCUCUAACAAAUUAAUAAUUUGACAAAUGCUAAUGGUGCUAUUGUCAAAUUAUAUUAAUGCACUGCUUUGGAGACAAUAACACUAUGAGCAUUUGUCAAAUUAUUAAUUUGUUAGAGAAAAUAAAAAUGGUAGUACAUGCUUCAAAAAAAAGAUUAACUUAGCUACUUAUGAAAACAAUAACACCAUAUGUUAUUUCUCAUGCAUAGGAAUGAGAGGGAAAAUUAAAAUUGAGGAUAGGAAUUAGCGGGAAAAAAUAGAGGGAAAAUUAUUAUUAUUAUUUAUUUUCAGUUUUUAAUCAUUUUUAAAUUGAAAUGACUUAACUAUCCUUACAUGUUAUGCACAUGGUCUCACUUAACGGAAAUAUGGAUGGAAUAUAUGAAAAACUAACGGUAGGGGGCAAAUUGGCUAAAAAAAUUAGUUUGAGUCCUUAAUUUUCCAAUAGAAAAGUUCAGGGGGGAAAUCGAAAGUGAGGUGAAAGUUCAGGGGGUAAACCGACAGUUCACCCCAUCUAAAAAUAAGUCUUUGCACUAAUUUAACUGUUCACCUUUUUGGCAGCUUUGUACUCAAUGUUUGAAUUUACGCAGCUUUUGGCUCUUCCCUCCAGAGCGUUGAAGGAGCAGAGCAACAACAUAGCAGCCAGCAGUCUCAAAGACCCAAAACAGAUGAAAUUUUAGCAAGAAUUAAAAUGAAAAAGAAUUUGCAUUCAUAAAUGGAUUAUAAUUUGGGUACCCAGAUUACUGGGAACCUAUAUUACAACAUGGCCAGCCCCCACAUCUCUUUUUUCAAUUUUUCCAAUUUAAUAAUAUUACAAAAGCAGAACACCUAAAAAUUAUUUUUCGGAGAACAAUGUUUGGUUACUUAAAAAUGAGAGGAGGAACUCCUUCUCAAUACGCUUCGUCACCAACUAACCGAACUUCAUGCUUAUGUCAGAAGAGUUAAUGUUAUAAAUAAUUUUGUAAAGAUCAUCUUUGCAAAAAAGUUAACAAAUGAGAUCACUUUUGGUGAUCGAACUAUGUAAAAACAAAUGAACGGAUUUUAUAAAAGCAUAAUGAACCAUCAAUCUACUUGCUACAGUUGAUUGAAUAAACAACCUCGUUUUCAAUUGAUUUUUUGUUCUUUACAAAGUAAUUUAUAAUGUUAACGAUUUUUAUCAUAAGCACAAAGUUUUGUAAACCUUGUGACUAAGUAUUUUGACGGGGAACUCCUCAUUUUUUGAGAAGCCCAAUUUAACUCAAUUUCCGUGAAAAGGGUGAGUCUCACAUGUUUAAGAUGAAUCAAGGCUCCUGCUAAGCGCAUGCGAAACCAUAGUUUUUCCUAAAGCUAAACUCAUACAAUGAUUCGAUAGGAUAGGACUUAAAGGGGCAUUUCCCAAAUGAUGUUUGAAGAAAAGGAAUCCCUAAAGCAAUUGUCAUAACACCCGACAUUGCACUAGGACAAGAGAUGCUUCCCACUACAUUAACAAUUGUAAUGUACUGUAGAUCCACAAAAAAAUAGUAAUACUUUGCUGCUCAAUUCUCAAAUAUAAUAUUGAGAAAUAUCGUCUCUCAAAAAAACAUAGAUUAUGUUAAAGUUCACUAAAAAAUAACUAUGAACUGUAUAAUUGUUUGAAAUGAAAUGACUCUGAACCCUUUUUUUGGGGUCCCUUCCAGGCAUCGAAAAAUAUAAAAAAAUAUAGUUCACGUAUUCUAGAUAAUUACGUAUUUAAAUUCUAUCCUAUUUCAUCAGAUUUGUUUGAAAUGAGAAGUUCAGAGGCUUUCAUUAACUCCAGAUUUUAGCAAUGUUUUGUUCAUUCGGUUCUUGGUUUUAACUAUAUCGGGAUCGACUAUGCUUUGUUUGGUAGUAUAGCAGGCUUGUUUUAUUUGCAAGAUAAUACAAACCGUAAAUCAUUCAGAUGCAAAAUUGGUAUAAGACUUAAACAAAAUAAAGAGUGCAGGGUGACAGAAUAAGAUAUAUAAAUUCAAUAAUUAAUAUAUUUCUAACACUUUGUUCACCAACUUAACAUUUGGAGGGAAAACUAAUCAACAUAAGGGGAGGCAACAAAAACAACCCCAAUACUAUUAUUAAACAAAAAACAAAGCCCUGUAUAGUUGUAUAAACUUGAAUUUCUCAUCAGGGCAACCGCAGGCAUCAAUUAAGCGGCAGAUGGGGCGGUAGCGAAGUCGGGCACGCCAGCCUCCGAUAGGGCCGCCUCCUUGAAUGGCUGCACAUCAGCCUCAGUUGAAACCACGGUAUUCUUGUAGUCCAAUGACUCAUCGUCGUAAAUAUCCCACCAUUUCUUCACCAGCAUCUUAAUGUCUUCCCUCUCCAUGUUCUCCUCCUUCCCAGUGUAUCUCCAUGGCUUAGAACCCUGAACAAAAAUUAAAAUGUGUUACGAUUUUAUAAGUUGUAGACAGAUAUUAAAGCAAGAACGAACGUGCAUCAAUAUUGUUAGAAAUGAAUUUGUAUUUUAACUAGUACUCACGUUGGCACAAUAGUGAACAACUUUGACUUGGUCAAGUUGAAUGUUCUCAGGGUGACGCCAUAACAUGGCCAACACAAGGUUGUAAUUUGAAGGGAUGGGCUUGUAUUUGUCCCUGAAAUACACGUUCAAGAAGUCCUGCAGGAAAAAAGGAAAUUACAAGCUUAAUAAAUAAUUAUAAAACAAUUUAAGUAAUAUUUUUAAACCAAAGUUUUGUCGGUCGAAUAGUAAUCUUUUACCUGCUCGGCAAAAGAUGUGGUGGGAGAAAUCUGGAGGGUUUUGAGGAGGUCAUGGUAGACCGGCAAGCUUGGCUCAUACACAAACAUGCCAGCAUUGAAAUAGAGGGGAGGCCUGGGGCCCAACUUAGGGUCCCAUUGGACCUUAUUAGGGCACUGCUGGCAGUACCCUAUCUUAUACUGUGGGCUACUGCUCCAAGUUGGCUCACAGAAGCAGUCCUUCACAGCAUAGAAGUAGUUGUCCGGGUAGUCAAAGAGGUGAUCGAUGUUCUCAAAAACUUGAAUAUCUCCGUCCAAAUAGAUCAUCUUGCUGUACUCCACAAACUGCAAAAUUUGCAUUGAAAAAUUAGGAUCACAUAUGGUUUGCCAAAAAAAAAAAAAUAGGAUCACAUAUGAAUAUUAUCUAUAAAAUAACACGACCUAAUAAAAUUGAUCACAAACUUUUAAAAACCUAACCGACAAAAAGGACACGCGUCAAAACCAGUUAACCUUGAAACAUAUACGUGUUAAAAACGGCAUGAAAGCACUGAGAAAUUUUUAACUGUGAAGGUGAUUCAAUCACUUAUUUUUAUGUAAUUUUUAUGUAAGUGAUGAAAAAUUUUAUUUUUUAAGUUAUUAAAUUUUUAACAUACAUAUCUUUGUAAUACCUUUUAUGACAGUCAUACUAAAAAAAUCUCUCGAAAGCACUAAAAGAGUUUAAAACGUUACCUCCCAAAUGCGAAGCUUGGAGUAGUUGAUGACGUAGUAUGCCAUGGCGAACUGGGUCUGGUUGGGAGGAGGGUGCACAGGCUCGAUCUCUCUGAGCACACAGCCCUGAGAGAUCAGAAUCCGGCGGUGCUCUUCAGGGACGUCGGGCAGCAUGGCCACAACAAGCGGGUACUUGCUCUUCACUUUUCUUAGCCCCUUGGCUAAGCCAACAACUCCUUUCCAGUAGUCUCCCGCACCAGCCAAGAAGGUGACGUAGGCCCUAUUGGGCCCGCUUGGUGGUUUGGUGGCAGCGAUAGCGGCGGUGGGGGUGGUGAUCGCAGGAGCCAUGGUGUUUAGGCUGAAUUGGGUUUGGUUGCGAAAAGGUUUCAAGUAGUAAAAUGGAGAGGAAGAUUUAAGGCUUUUGGUGUUUGUUUGGAAGAAAAGGUUAUGUUUCUUGCUUCAAUAAGGUUUAGAACUCAAUGUUUUGGUUGAUGAGUUGGGGCAGUGGGUUGGGGGGGGGUUUAUAUAGAAUUGGGGAGGGGGUAAUUUCUAAUUUUUUUAAUUCAUUUUUUGGGUGGGAUAAAUAGGAUCGGUCGGUCAAAUUAUGGUAAAAAUGUGAGAUUAGGGUAAGUACUUUAAUGUUGCUUGUGGUCUAAGGUGAAGAGUCACGCCAUUGGGCCCAUCGGUCAUUUUAUAAUAUUAUUCAAAGAUCUUGAAGACGUUAUCUAAUUAGUAUCAACAUCAAAUAAAUGUAGGGAAUUAAUUGGGCAGUUUUAGAGAGGAUUAUGGCCCUUGAUGAAGCGUGACAUAAGCUCCAAAUUAAUUAACGAAUAAAUUUUGAUCCUGUAGGCCGACCCUUUUAAAUUUCAUAGACGAUAAUAACCUUCUUAUUUAUCAUUUUUUACACAACUAUUUCAGAGUAGUGGACGUCAACGCACUUUUAUUUAUUUAUUAUGGGAAUCGACGUGCUUAUAGGGAUUUAAGGGAUCAUAUUUAUAUGUGGAAACAUAAAUCUCGUUUUGAUGUACUUUUAAAAUAACUGAAAACACUUUUGAGGAAAAUAUUUUUGGAAUAAUCCUUAGUAAAAUGCAAGUAAUUCAUGAAAAAACACUUAAAGUGCUUCCUGGAAAAAGCACAUAAUUGAUGCUUAUUGCAGAAAGCACUUCAAGUGCUUUUGGGACCCAAAAAUAUUUUCUCUAAAAACGAUUUCAAUCAUUUUAAAAAUACAACCAAAUGAGUCCAUAAUUUAUUUUAUCUUUGGAGGCUCAAGCGGAGACCUGUUUACUUAUGUUUUCUCUUAUGAACCUCUUGUCUCCAACUAUUGCUUUUUUUAUUUUUAGAAUGUUCAAUAUAUGUUUGACAUCUUCUAUGCGAAAAUGUUUAAUUUUCAUAAGAUCUUCUUGACUGUUAUUCAAAAGGUCAAUAUACAUACAUUAUUGGACCUUUUGAGGCAACUAUAGAUCCUAGGGAGCAAUUCUGAUUGGUCAAAAAUUAGAACAUCAUAUAAGUUAUCAUGCUUGCCUAUCCACCAUUUGAGUCUCUAACAGUUAUUCCAUAUUACAUAUCCAAUAGUUGACCUAUGGACGAUUACGCAAGCAUAUGUUUCAUGCUUGUUUGUAUUUGUGGGAUCAUAUUUCUUUUAAAGAUAAAACACAUAAAAAAAAUGUCUUAGUCAAUCAUCAUUUUCCAUAUUAGUUGCCACACAAAUUUCGGAAAGUAUAAUUAGAGGUAUUUAUUCUUUUAAAUUUCAUAUUAUCCGGACUUUAAUUACCAUUUCGAUCUAGGAAAAUCUUCUACAUUAUGUACAUGGAUCUCAAAAUAUAUGGUGAAAUGAAACAAAUGAAAGACAUAUUUUACCAAAAGAAAUACAUUUUUUUAAAUGAAAUAAAUACAUUUUAUUACAUGUGAUAUUGCUACUCCACACUGUAUUUAAUAAAAAUGAAAAUAAAGAAGAAGUCAAACAUCUUAGAAUUGGAGUCCUUUCAUAUUAGGCUGAAAAUUUCAGUUUGAUUUCAAUUUUACAAAAAUCAAACUCCCCUCGUGGAAGAGUAAAAUGAGAAUAAUCAAUAAUAUAUUAGGAAAUAGAUGGUCCUCAUAUGUAUUAAACUAAUACAACUAUAGUAAGUGUUACAGUUUUAUCAAGUAUUCAGAAAGGCGUGUCACUGGCCCACUCCUUAUUACACCGAUAUUAUAACCGUUAAUCAAUUUAUUGUUAGGUGUUGCGUUUUAUCACAACAAGCUCGAUAUUAUUAAGAAUGAAACCAUACACUUAUAUAUUGUUUUUUAUUUUCUCAAUUCUCGAUGUGGGACUUAUAUUCAACACGCCAUCUCACAUGGGACCACAACAUAAUAGACCACACGUGCACCAAUCCCACAUCGCACAUAAAGUGUAGAAGCAUAGUGUUACAAUAAACCCAGUAACGCGAGAACAACACAUACCCACGAUCAAACCCACUAUGGUUCUAUAUCAUAUACUCAUAAAGACGGACCAUCCACACACUCCUAACCAUAUAUGUAUUGUCUCAACUUAAUUCCCUAUUGUUAUGUGUUAUGUUUUAUUUUCUCAAUUCCCAGACUUAUGUUCAAUAAGUUCUUCAUGAUUUUUUAUAAAAAUAUUCAUACUUUUCUGAUUUUAUAUGUUUAAGAAACAUAUAAAAAUUAAUAAGAGAUGAGUGAUUUUGAUAAAUCACAUUUUAAUAAUCGCGUUGAAAAAGUAAGAUCAUAUCACUUAAACAAGUUACGUGCAUGAAGUAGACAUCCUAAAAAUUGCAAAGAAUAAGAAUAUUGGUGCGUACAAAAGAGAAAAAAAAAUGAUUAAUUUAAUUAUUUUGUUAAAAUAAACUAUUAUCAUCCCAUUUCUUUUGAUAACAAGCAGGGAGAAAAUGGUAAAUUCAAAAUAAACAAUACGUAACGUUUUGCAUGUCCACUUUCCACCGUCGGAAGUUGCUAAGACUUACACCAAACGAAGAAUACCAACCUCUAAUCUCAUCACACGACAGUCACACCCUCCUCGCCACGUGGAAAAUCACAGAUACGUGGCGCGCUCACAGCCGCCUGGAUUUACUAACGCGGGGUCCACCUACUUCAAACCGAAUUACUUUUUCCACCCCAACUUGUACACUUUUAGGAUAUUCUAUAGAACUGGGCCCCUCCCAUUGAAUAUCUUACGUGUCCCGCAACCGCACGGGAAGAUGCCAUGUGGGCGCGCCGAGUGGCAGAGGAGGACGUUCGGAGAAGCAACGAGGCACCAUUAAUUGGAGGGAGAUUGUCUGCCUCCUUUUUUUUAAUGGCCUUCUCAUUAUUUUUUAUUUGUGCGGUUAUAAUUAAAUUACGUUAAUAUUUUAUAUUUUUUUAUAAAGAUAAUAAAACAUAAAAAUAUAAAAAUAUAAAAUAUUAACGUGAUUUAACCGUAACUAUACAAAUAGAAGAGGAUGAGAAUGACACCUAGACAAUCUGACUCCCUACUAAUUUUUUCCGAGUGUCGGUUUCUAGUUAUGUUAGUUGGUCCAAAUUAAAACGCGUUUAAAGCUAAUUAGCACGCAGAUACUAAUUUGGUGUGGCAGUUUGAGACGGUGGGCCCUGGCGGGCCCAUUAGUUUAUAGGAUAACGUUUACCGACCAAAUCUUUGGAUAAUGUUUUGGUCUUUGGAGUGAAAAAACGUUAUACGAUAAUGUUAUUUUGAGGUCACUAGUACACUUUUUUGACCCACUUCGUAAAAAAAUAGGAAAAUGAAAUUACGAAAAAUGUUUUCAAAAUCUGAGGAAUAUUCGGUUAGAUAUUCUUGGAGAAUCUUCUAUUCCUUUCGGAAAAAAAUAAUAAUAAGAAUUUUGGGAUCUUUGAUUUAACGGUCAAGAUUCUAUUUUUUUAAUGUCCUGAUUUUGAGCCACUGAUAUUUGAGUGCAUUUAUUUGGCACUUUUUCCUUUUGAAUAUAGGAACCUUCCUUGAAUGGAUUAGGUGUAUUUGGAUGGAAAAUGGGGACUAUAUCGAAUGUCUGUUCUCAUCAGCUGAGAAUAGAAAUUAGGAUAUCAUAGGUCUAGAAUUCGAUUCGUGUGAAAAUACGUACGAUAGAAGUUUUUUUUCAAAAUUCUCGUAAAGCGACGAGCCUUCUUAGCUUAGGGUUGCCCUUAGGUCUAGAAUUCGAUUAGGGCAUAAUAGGUUUAAGGUUCAAUUUCUCGAUUAACCAAAAAUCUAGAAUACGAAAGAAGAAAAAGAAAAGGCUUCGGUAACAAGUCAAUCGUUGGGUUGUGGUUUAGGGAAUUGGGGUAGGCUCAAAACUGAAAAUACACACUUUGUCACACCAAAAACAGGCCAAAAUAUCUCCACAAGACUGCCCAUAUUCGCAUGUGGCCCAGAAAGAAUAUGUGGGUUAAGUGUGAAAGAAUUUUGGCAUUUUUUCGAUCAGGUGAUGAGACAGAUCGAGAAUUCGAGAAGAGAUAGAGAGAAGGAAACAUAUAGCCGUGACAUGUAAGUUUUUCUUCUCUUGCGGCCUUUACAUUUACUCCAGUGUCGCUGUUGACGCCAAUUCGGCAACGCUGCUGAAUCUGGCUGUUUGAUUUGCUUGAACUUGUUCAUCCUUGCAUUUAGAAAAAUAUAGAAAUGUCCUUACCCCAAUUGGAACAAAUUCAACGAAAGAUUAGUCGCAGGGUUUAAUUUUCAAAUAACAUAUUUGUGGACUUUGGACUAAAAUACCAACCAAAUAUAUAUAUUUUACGUUUAGAGAUUUAGGUGAGGACAAGACUUUUGCCAAGAAUGAUGUCAUCUGUUGAGAAAUCAGCUGCUUUCCUGAAUGUUCCUCUCCCAAAGUCCAGGUUGUACGAGUCUGCAAGACCUUCCACCAGGCCAUAUUCGGGCUUCCAUCCGAGCACGCUCUUUGCUUUGUCGAUCGAUGCAAAGAAAUGCUGCGUUACACGAUCGAAGUUGGUUAGUCAGGUUCCGGCUUCAUGAAAGUAAUAGAACAAGUUUUGUUUAGCUUCUUAUCAAAUUCUUAAAACGUCUCUAAGACCAUGUUUACCUGGUCACGGAAUGGAAAGGCCUUCUUCUUGCCAAAAUCGAACUCUUUAGGGUUGUAGUGAAUGAUCUCAGGCUCAGGAAAACCAGCAGCCUAACAAAUGUGAAAACAUAUGAGAAACUCUAGUUUGAGAAGAUUAUGAAUAUUUGUCUGUCUAGAAACUUAUUCAGCAAGCAAUUACAUUUGCGCAUGCUUUCGCUAGUCCGUCAAAGGUGACAUAUUUGUCUCCGGAGAUGUUGAAUACUUGUUUGCUGGCCUUCUCGUUACCAAGAACCUUAAUGAAGGCUGUCGCUAAGUCCUGCAAAACGAAUUCACAUAAAAAUUUGCCUUUAAAUGCUGCAAUACAGAAAUCUAAAGAAGUACAUCAUGACUGACUGACACUUCACACUAACCUUGACAUGACCAAGCUGUGUAAUUUGUAUCCCCGAGUUUGGAACUGGGAUUGGGCGGCCAGCUUUCAACCGGUGGAAGAACCACUCUUCAACAGGGUUAUAGUUCAAUGGUCCAUAGAUGUAGACUGGCCUUAUUGAAGUCCAGUUAACACCCUUUGAUUCGAGCAAGUUCUCUGUCUCGAGCUUUCCCUUGUGCCUGCUCUUUGGAUCAACUGCAUCAGUCUACCACCAGGAUUUGUCAAGUUUAGAAUUAUGGUAAGAUAAAUAGAAUGAAAUAGAAAGGAUAAAAAGUAAUAUAGAGGAAAAACAAGUCAGGAAUUAAGCUAGAACUUCCACACUGCCAUGAUAGUAGGACCGAAAAAAAUGAAAAGUAGCCAUUUGUAACAUCAAACAUACCUCAAAGUGAGGUAGCUGAUCAGAUUUGAGAUAGACACCGGCUGAAGAGCAGUAUAUGUACCUGAGAUUUCAGCGGAAUUCUUAGACCUUCUAAAAAUUUCCAUUAUAUAUAUGUGUAAAAUUGGAAAUAAGUGCAGUUUUAAAUCUUUUCUGCAUCAAACAUUAGGUCUACCAUGUUAGUGUUCAGUUAAGUCUUAGAAUGUUUUCAAACAAACUAUAAGCAUCAGCUCUCGCACUAAAAAAGUUGAUCAUUCCAGGUCAUGAUUGAUUCCUUGCUUCCAUUUGACUCACAAUCACAUCUCUAACUACGGUAGUACCAUUGGUCUUCUGUACACCUGAAUAAUGUCAGCUGAUUUUCCUCAUUUACGACAUAUUUAACGAAAACCAGGUUUAUUAUCGUCUGAGAUAAUAAAAUGGAAGCUGCAGUCAAAGGUACUUGUUUUGUUUAAACGUUAAUUUUGCAUGUAAGAAGCCAAUGUUGCAUACUAAGCAUCACAUGCUUGCUAGUUUAGAGUUUACUUAUACUCCAAACAGUCCUAAUCUCAAACCAUAUCCAGGAGAAGAUGACCUGAUACUAGAGAAACCGCCACGAAAUAUAGGUAAAAUAAUUUCAGUUGCUUUACCAAUAAGAUAAGCUAAUUCAUCAGAGGCUGUUCUUACUGUUCUAACUUCGGUAGUCCCUCAAUUAUCGGCACAACUUCUUCUGCCUCUCGUCCUGAAAAUUUCCAAGAACAGAUUAUGAAGCAGAACUGUAAGCUAUAUUACACAAGAACAAAGUCCUAGUGCGGCAAAUUCAAAUUGCAGAGGCUAAAUGUAAGACUAUGCGCACCAUUUAUAUCGUAAACAACAUCGUAGCCUUCAGCUGAAAGACUGGAUUUCACAAAGUCAUAGUCCUUUCUGUCUCCUUUCAAGUGCAAAAUCUAGCAAACAUGAUCACUAAAUGAAAAUCUGGGAAAGCAUUAGAAGUUAAUAAUGGACUUUCAAAGCCUAGUGACACUGUUAUAUACCUUUGAAGCGAAAUCUGUGUAAUCCGCAUCGGAUUCUCCUGGCAACUGCUGAGUAAUGGGUGCUUUUCCUCUGGUAAACAGAGUCACCUGCAAAAGUAAACUCAAUUUCAUAUCUUAUCGAUGUAUCAAAAGGAAAAGUGUGACUGUCACACUACUACGUGACAAUACUAAUUCACGCACUCUCACUAAUUCCAUGACAAGAUUAGUAAUUUCACGUAGCAGCGUGAUAGUUACACCAAACUCAUAAUGAUGAAAGCAAAAUCAUAGUAGGAAAAUGAUGAAAAAUCGAAAACUUGGAAAUUUAGAAAGAGAAUGAGGAUACCUGAUGACCCUCCUUAACAAGGAGUCUUGACAAGAAGAUGCCGAUGAACCGGGUUCCCCCCAUUAUAAGAAUCUUCUUUGCACUCGAUGCUGAAACUUGCAGCGCCCUUCCUCUUGGCUGCGAUGCCCUUCUUUUACACUGCAACAAUUAACAAAUGGGGUUCUAACUUCUAAGUUGAAAACAAUGAAAUGCAAGUAAAGUUAUAAACUUUCCGGCAAAUGGGUUGGUUUGAUUCAACAAAAAGGAAAAUUUGAUUCUACCCAUUAAAGAAAAGCAUCAUAAGAAUGCAUAUUUUAGAGAGAGAGAGAGAGAGGGAGAGAGAGAGAGAGAGGACCUGGAGUUGGGAGUGGAGGAGUUUGGUGCCAUUGAAGUCAGAGAGAGAGGAAGGAGGGAGGAGAGAGAAAGAUGGGUUUCUCUGCUGCGGUUGCACAGCCACCAACCUUGCCAUUUCUCUCUUCUAUUCCACAAUUAUCUAUCCAAUCUUCUUCUUCUUCCUCUCUCUCUCUCUCUCUGAGUGUGGGGUUUUCUGAAAUUCUUGAAAUAUGUCAUGUCGUCGUCGUCUUCUUCCUCUUUCUGUUGGCGAUCUCUCAGUCGAACGUUCAGCUACAGGAUAAGAGGGUAUGACCCACCACCACUCCUUUUCGGUUUGCCCAUAUCCAUAGUCCACUCACUCCUCGGCCUCUCAUUCCACCACCCUCAACCUCCCUAAAACGACGCCGUAAAGGUCAAAACUUUCGCGCCUUAAACCCCCAAAUGCCCAUUUGUAAGUUGGGUUUGGGCUUUUGAGUUGGGUCAAGUUUUGGGUUUUGGGCUUUUUUGUGUUCUACAAAAUCUCCAAAAUCUGAAUCUGAGAAGGAGAAGGAUACGAAGAAGAAAGCUUCUGCUGUCGCAGAGUUGAAGAGCUAAAGCUUCUAAAUUUCGAUUUUAUUUUUGUGGAUUUGGAAUUUAUUCUAAUUAUUUGUAGAGAGAGAGAUGUUGCAGUGCAUAUUUCUGCUAUCGGAUUCUGGGUAAGUCACCAAUCUUUGAUUUUUUUUUUCUUCCAUUUGAUCUAAAAAUUUAAUUGAUGAAUUUUAGUAGGUAAAGCAAAUUUCGAUUUUUUGUUGUUAAAUUAUGGGACUUUUCAGUGAGGUAAUGCUGGAGAAACAACUUACUGGGCAGCGUGUGGACCGUUCGAUAUGCACAUGGUUCUGGGAGCAUACGGUUUCUCAAGGUGAUUCCCCCAAGGUAGCCAUUGAAAUUUUUUAUGUUUUUUAACCAAAUUGUACAUUUUUAGGCAGGGGUGUAGUCACAUUGGUUAGAGAGGACCGGAUGUGCUCUCUAUGCACCCGGAGUUUGAAUCUCCCUCCCGUAUUUUAGAUUAGUUUAAAGUAGAAUAUUGCCCGAAUUAAAAGACUUUGUGUCUGUUAGCUUCAUUCCAAAACUUUCAUAUCUGGUUUUCUCAUACAUUUAUGAAUCUUUCAAAUUGGGCUUGUUAUCUUGUAUGUAGUUGUUCCCUUUUCUCUUUAUUUAUGUAUACAGUUAUGUUGAUAUGUAGAUGGUUGUGUGCUUGUCAUUCCAUUUCUUACACCCUAUGUGUGAUUUUGUUAUUAGCUGCAAUCGGUAAUUGCUUCACCAACGCAUUAUCUUUUCCAAGUUCUUCGCGAGGGGAUAACGUUUUUAGCUUGUACCCAAGUUGAAAUGCCGCCUUUGAUGGGCAUCGAGGUGAAUAUCAUAGCGGAAUGUGCAUUAGAUUGUAUGAUUUGAUUGUGUAUGCAUUGAACAAGAUUGAACUUUAACCGUUUGACUUGUAGUUUCUGUGCAGGGUGGCUGAUGUCCUGACAGAUUAUCUCGGCAGCUUGAAUGAAGACUUGAUUAAAGAUAACUUUGUCAUUGUAUAUGAGGUAAUUGUCUUCUAGAAUGUGUUGUCUGUUGUGCAGACAAACGUUUGCCUUCGUGUGUAAACCACUUAUAACGUAGAACUAAAAUCUCAACAACAUGAACAAGUUCAAAAUUUUACCUCCGUGACUGUGAUUGUUUACUGACUAGAACCUGGCCGCUAAUUAGUCAUCAACUACUGUAUUCGAUGUUGAUUUUUGCUUCGAUUGAAUUUACUAAAAUCUUUACUGCUGUUUGCAGCUUCUGGAUGAGAUGAUUGACAAUGGCUUCCCUCUCACGACAGAACCGAAUAUUCUGAGGGAGAUGAUUGCUCCACCAAAUAUAGCAAACAAGAUGUUGAGUGUAGUCACUGGCAACAGUUCCAACGUGAGCGACAUACUUCCAGGUGCAACGUCAUCUUGCAUUCCAUGGAGAACAACGAACCUGAAAUAUGCAAACAAUGAAGUUUAUGUUGAUCUUGUUGAAGAAAUGGAUGCAAUUAUAAACAGGUCUAUCUUUUAUUCUUUUCUACGAGAUUAAAAGUUUCGAGUCUUAGAAGUUGAUUCUAAUAUCACUUCUUUGUGUUAUACAAGUCAAUUGGUGUUUACCUUUAACAGUUUAACCGCUCAAAAUUUUAUAAGACAUUAUCAUUUAUGGAUGGUGAUGAUUAUUGUACGAAAUUUGCAGAUUCUGUAGUUAUAAUUGAAUGAAUUAUAUCUCAAUUUUUUGUACUAAAUAUUUCUGCAUGCUGCUCAGGGAUGGGGUCAUGGUGAAAUGUGAGAUAUAUGGUGAAGUUCAAGUAAACUCCCAUCUCUCUGGUGUUCCCGAUUUGACUCUUUCAUUUGCAAACCCUGCUGUUCUUGAUGAUGUAAGAUUUCAUCCGUGUGUUCGGUUUCGCCCAUGGGAAGCCCAUCAAAUUCUGUCUUUUGUGCCCCCUGACGGACAGUUUAAGUUGAUGAGUUACAGGUCAGUGGUGUUAGAGGGACACUGGAAUUCGAAGCUUACUUAUGUGCAGUAUUUCGGUGUCUAUGUCCUUGUUUUAUUUUCUAAAUAAUUCUACGCUUCUUUUAUGCAGGGUUAGAAAGUUGAAGAGCUCUCCAAUCUAUGUAAAGCCCCAGCUAACCUCAGAUGCUGGGACAUGUCGUGUUAGUGUGUUGGUUGGAAUACGAAAUGAUCCUGGAAAGACGAUUGAUUCAAUAACUGUGCAGUUCCAACUUCCUUCCUGCGUUUUAUCAGCUGAUCUGAACUCGAAUUAUGGAACCGUGAACAUUCUUGCUAACAAGGUAAGAACAAACGAUUUUCAUCACUCAUACCCUUGGCAUGAUGACUAGUCUUGAAUUUCAAUUAUCAAUUGUGAUACGUACGUAGAUGAAAUGGAAGUUCAGGUCUUUUUCUCCUUAACAAUUAUUCUUCACUGUUGUGGUUGCAAUUUCUGCAGUUUUAAAGGAUGAGAAUGCGUGGUUCUUCUGGUCGGUUUUGGGUUUAAUAUAACGAACACUUCUUCUUCUUGUAGACUUGUUCAUGGACGAUUGGGAAGAUUCCUAAAGACAAAGCCCCUGCCAUGUCUGGGACAUUAGUGCUUGAAACAGGAUUAGAGCGCCUUCAUGUUUUUCCGACAUUUCAAGUGGGUUUUAGGAUCAUGGGCGUUGCUCUCUCCGGCUUGAAAAUAGAUAAACUGGAUUUGAAGAACCUAGCAAAACCACCGUAUAAGGGUUUUCGAGCUCUCACUCGAGCAGGGGAAUUUGAAGUCAGGUCAUAAUGCACCGAUAUGAAACCCAAGUUGUGAAGAUUGCUCGGAAUGAGAUUAAUUGUGUACUGCAAUGUGUCGUUUGUAUAUUUCUUUUUGUAACUUUGCAUCUCGGUCUUGAGAGUGCCUUCGAUUUUAGCUGGAAUGAAUUUGUAACGAAUUUUCUGUUUUACUGAAGGAUUGAAAGUUACAGAGUGUUUUACAGAACUAGACUGCAAUUGGCAUUUGAAGCAAAGGAAUAAGAACCUUUGGAUGACAAAAUUUUGUACAAUCUUACGGUACCUAAACAGCAAUCUUGUUCACUCUGAAAGACUCCAUAACCCGGCGAAGAUCACUUUCUUCCUCCACAAACACAUUUUCCGGCGUCUGUAAUCUCAACUCGUAUAACUGGUUGUUUUCGACUCCUAGAACCGAAAGGUACCGCCUGUCCCAUUCCAAACGAACUAAUCGAUCCUUCGGCAUGACAGCCAACUCGUUGUUGUUUGCAUAUGAUUUUAUGUUCACCUGGAAAAUCCAUGUCAAAACACACUUUCUAAUUGAUAAUGCAGAUUGUCUUAUCUAAAUAGUGCUUCUAAAAAUGCAUAGAACUGACCUCAAUUUGAUAGUAAAGCUUCCCAUCAUCAGCAACUCUCGAAGAAGUGGAAAGAAUUUUGGAUUCGCGCCUCACGCCGAGUCUGGUAGACAUGAACUCCGUCAGGUACUGCUUAAGCACUUUCUUUCCGGCUAGUGCAGGCGGGCCAAGAUCUUCGAUGCUCUUGUAGUUGGAAGAUGAUGGAGACGAAAACUCCACGGAGAUAUUUUCAUCAAGAAUGUAAGGGUCUCUGAAGAAUAUGUCAGCUCCGGCGCCUUUCACUUGGAUCCAGUUCUUAGGGUACUUGAACGAAUAUCCAUCAAAAGUAUCUAUGUAUUCUCUUAACCCUACAAGAGACUGCUGAGCAAAUGCAGCACUCCCAAAACCGCCUCCGGUGAAGAUGUAAGCUGACAAGAUUAAGGCCAUUGCAUUCCUCCUAGGAACUGCAAAAUCUUUAGUCUGAUUAUAUAUUAGAAAUAUAUGGUAAGAACACAACAUUGUGGAAGUCUGUAAAUUUCAUGUCAAUUUCACUAAUGUGUGACUCUCAGCAUACCUUUGAGGAAAAUUCAACACAAUCCCUAUCUGAAUCAUGUCGAAAGUGCUCGGAAACCGGUGUCUUCAGUCUGCUAAACAAACUCAUCUGCUAAAACAAACUCAAGGUCAAGUGUAUGAGAUAUGCAAAAGGAUCAAAUUUUGAAACAAUAUAGUAAAUACCUGACUACGUUCUUUGGAAAUUUCCUUUGCGUUUGAUGCUGCAACAUGUAAUGUUUCUUUUGGCUGUGAAACCUUUCUCCUAAACUGCAGUUGAUUAAUGAUGUAUCGAUGUUAAAAGCCAAAACCACAUGAAUUCGCAUCCAAGCUCAGAGAAGGAAACCAUCAAAGCUAUGUUUUAACUCGGGAGCAACAAGGCGGGCACACUCCUCCUGCCAACUGACCUUAUCUACGUCCACAAUUCUACUCUAUGUUGUAGGAAAAUCAACAAAAGCUAGUGCAGGAAUAAUGAAAGUCAGUUAAAUUGAGAGAUUCACAACAUUGUGAACCAUGGAAGAAAAAGUAGAACAAAAAUUGCAGAAGCAGAACCUGGAGCUGAGGAGCGUGGAGUCUGGUGCCAUUGAAGUGAGAGAAAGAAGAGGGGAGAGGAGAGAGAGAAGGCUGUCUCUGCUGCUGCACCACCACCAACCUUGCCAUGUUUCCCUAUCCACUCCUCCUGCUUUCCUUUUCUUGGUUUUUGUUGGUUAUAUCCACACAGCCUAUCCAUCAAUCAUUCAUAUCAUCUCAUCGAGAUUUUUCAGUAGACCGGAAACACGAUUUUGUACACCGAAUAUAAUACUACAAUUAUUAAAAACUAAAAAAAAAAAAAUAGUGCUACUUUUAUUAUUACAUUUGAGUAUUGAGCUGUAUUCUCAACACAGUAAAAAAUUUGUUCAUCUCAUCAACUUAUUUACUUGACUUCUACCAUUCAUGCAGAACUUUAAGGCCCAAUACCCAAGACAGGCCAACAAAGAAUGGACCUUAUCUCCAAGCCCAUUUGACUCAAAAUCAAGUUUGGGUAAGGGAAAAUCAUACAUGCCUCUAUUUAUUUUCGUCCAUUGAUUUUUUUUUUGUUUUAUUUAAUUUGAACGGGAAAAAUAACAUGAGUGUGAAUAAGUAAAAAAAUAGCGUGUGAAUAUCAUUUCUAUUUGGUAAUCCUUGGUAGAAAUACACCAUUUAGAUUUUCUUUUCUUUGGUCAAUUUUCACCUGUUUGAAACUCGAGUUUGAAAAAACUUAUGCAUUUCCCAAAAUACACUUUCUUGAUUUUUAUGUAUUCACAAACAAAACACAAAAUUAUUUAAAAUGUCAAUAACAGUUAUUUGUUUUUUAACAUAUAUCGGCCGAAAAGAAGUAGGCAUGAUAUUGGUGGUGUACAGGAUUUGGGGUUGGUCAAAAGCAAAUUGACAUCUAUGAAGACAUUGAAAAUUAGUGGAUAACAAUAAUGGGACACGUCACCAACACUUAUCCCUCUUUAUGUCCAACGUUUCUAUACACUGCAAAAUUGUUAUGGUUCCAGAGCAUUGCAUCCACAAAUCAAUUCUGAAUAUAAGAGUCGGAUAAUUUAGAAAAGCAGUGCCCUGUUCACGCACUUAUUUUUUUAUUGUGACCGUCAUAUACCACUGAAGCUUAAGGGAAAAUCUUAUAAGACGACAAUAAGGUCGGCGAUGCUGUAUGACACAGAAUGUUGGGUGGUGAAGCAUCAACACGUACAUAAAAUGGGCGUAGCGGAGAUGAGGAUACUUCGUUGGAUGUGUAGGCACACGAGAAGUGAUAAGAUUAGGAAUGAGAAUAUCUGAGGUAAAGUAGGAGUAUUCAAAAUUAAAGGAAAUAUGAGAGAAAAUCGGUUACAGUGGUUUGGACAUGUGCAAAGAAGGCCUACCGACGCUCCGGUUAGAAUAUGCGACUACGAGACAGAGAUUCAGGGUCGACGGGGUAGAGGAAGACCUAGGAAAACUUUGGAAGAGACUCUAAGAAAAGACUUAGAGUACUUGGAUCUAACGGAGGACAUGACACAGAACCGAGCGCAAUGACGUUCUAGGAUUCCUAUAGCCGACCCCAUUUAGUGGGAAAAUGCUUUGUUGUUGUUUUUACUUUUUACGCAUUUGCUUUAAUUUUCGGGCAUCGAAUUAAAUGAAAUGAAGAAAAUUAUAAAACAAAAAUUAACAAAGCAUUUGUGAAAAAUAAAAAUAGAUGUGUGAGUACCCUACUAAUUACAAAAAAAUUAACUAAUCAAUUCAAAUUAGCUACCUAAUCACCAACUUAAUUCGAGUUAUCGUGUAACAUGGAAAAGCCCGCGAUUCUUGACACGUUUUGCAGAAAAUAUCAACGUCUACGAUUCUUCAUAUUCUAAUUUUCCAUUGCUGCACUUUCUAUUAUGAAAGUUAACUACAAAUUUAUUUGACUUGUUUUUAAAAUGAUUAAAAAUACUUUUUGACAAUUUAAAACGUUUAUAUUCAUUUCGAACAGUAAGUUUAAAGCUUUUUUAGUUACGAUAGUUCCUUAGAUUAUCAUAACUUCUCAUUUUGGUUCUUGAGAUUUAAAAUUGAUAAAAGUGAUUUCUCUCUUUUAAAUUAAAAAAAUCACAAGUUCAAAGUGAGGGGUAUUUAGAGCAUAUUUCUCAUGCAAUGACCAAAUAAUUGAGGGUGGACAAUCUAAGGAUCACUUCUAUUGAUUUUUGAAAUUUUUAUACUAAAGUGAAGAGUUAUAUCAAUCUCGCAGACUAUUUUAAAUAAAAAACCUAAAUUUAAAAUGCUUCCUAUAAAAAACAAUCUCAAACGAGAUGUGCAUAAACUUAUGAAUCUACCCCCUUUUUUUUCUCUUACAUAUCUACUUAAAAAUCAUCUUAGCAUAAAUGCAAACAAUAGAUUCAAAUACCAACAGAGAAUCGUUUUAUUAAUCAAAUUGGUCUAAUUCACAUAUGUAUUUUAGACAUUUUUUUAUUUUUUAUUUUGUCUUAACCUUCCUUUCUGGGUAAUUUAGUAUCUUAAAAUUCAUGUGACUUUACUGUUUUGCAAUUAAUUAUAAAAAAUCUUAAGAGUGCUUAAGUAAUUAAAAGACCCAAUUAAGAAUAAAAUCUCCCAAUUUUCUAUUGACGAGCGAAUAAUCUCCCAAUUUUCUCCGCCGUCUUCAAGGCGGCACCGUUCGUGUAUAAAAAGCUAUCUUCCCUAUUUACUUUUCUGAACCAAUAACCAUUUCAGACACCAUUUUCUUCUUCUCCAAUCUCUCUAUCUCCUCCGCCGAUGAACGCGUUCUCUCUCUGUAAGUUUGACGAGAAUCCCAACUCCGUAAUCUGCACCUCAAUCUUCAAAGGAUCAGGAUAGCUGUAUAUCUGUAUAUGCAUAUUGAUGUAGUUCAAAUUUUGUAUUUUGUAUCGUUUGAAGAUUUGAUUUUGCUGAGAAAUUAUCCUGCUUAAAAUCUUUGAUAUGAAUUCCCUGAGUCUUCUUUGUCACGCAACAAUGAAACCCACCUGUAGAAUCCUCAAUAGAUGUCGAAACUCGGCGUUUUUUGGGUUCCCACGGCCUGCAACAUGGCUGCAUGGUUUGACGAAGACUGGAAAUUCGUCCAGUUUUUGUGUCAAUUUUGAGCAAAACUGCCAAUAUCACGCCAACCCUUUUCGUAUUUCGGGGUCUGGAGGCGUUUUCGAUGAUGCCCGAAAAGCCUCUCAGGUUCCCAGUUGGGGUCUUGGCCAAUCUGGGAUAAUAUCUAGGUCUUAUAGUGCUGGCAUUGGCACAGCUAGUAGGGGUGUUUCUGUGAUUGCUAGUUUGGCAUCCAGGUUUCGGAACCUUUCAACGUCAAUUGAGACCCGUGUGAAUGAUAACAAUUUCGAGAAGAUAUAUGUUCAGGGUGGUAUAAAUGUGAAGCCUUUGGUGGAGAGGAUUGAUAAGGAUGAGAACAUUGUGGGAGGGGAAGAAUCGAGGAUAGAAGUUGGUGAUGGAAAGAAAUCUGAAAGCUUGAAUGAAGCUACGGUUGUGACUUCGGAGAGAGAGUAUUCGGAUAUUGAGAAGGAGGCGUGGAGGCUAUUGAGGGAUUCGGUUGUGACAUAUUGUGGGAACCCUGUGGGGACUGUGGCUGCAAAUGAUCCCGGUGACAAGCAACUGCUGAAUUAUGAUCAGGUCUUUAUCCGUGAUUUUGUUCCAUCGGCACUUGCUUUCUUGCUUAAGGGAGAAGGGGAGAUUGUGAGGAACUUCCUCCUCCAUACAUUGCAAUUGCAGGUAAUGGUUUGCACCACUUAUCUUGGUUCCUUUCUUUUCGAGCAUUAAUUGUGCCAGCUUUUUGGUUUUUAAUACAUGAUAUCAUGAAUGGAAAGUUUCAAACCUCACUUAUAUAUAGCUUAUCAAUUAACUAGUUUUCAAAUAAUCAAAAUUUCCUUUUGAGGUCGUUUAAACCUUGCUGAUUUGGAGUUCCCGACUUGACACGAUUCCUUUUACUUUCUUCCAAAAUGAAGAUUCCAUUGGUUUUGACAGACCUUGACUAAGUUUUCAUGUCGACCCUGGUUUUGUGCGAUGUACCUUGAAUUAAUGAAGGUUUCUGGAAUUCCUGAUGGUAUGUUUCUAAUAUUGUAGAGUUGGGAGAAAACUGUGGAUUGCUAUAGCCCAGGACAGGGAUUGAUGCCUGCAAGUUUUAAAGUUAGAACUGUACCUCUCGAUGGAAAUAAGACUGAAGAAGUUUUAGAUCCAGAUUUUGGUGAAUCAGCUAUUGGACGUGUUGCACCUGUAGAUUCUGGUAAGUACAUUAUAACUACAUUAAUUCUACCAAUAACAAAUGUGAUUCUUUAUUGGAUGGUGCACACGGUCUGCUGUUGUUGCCAUCCAGGUGUUAUUGGCUGCUGAUCCUGUGCAUUUCAUAACUCUUCUUAAAAGCAAUUUUUUUUCAAAUGACCUUCCAAAGUUAUGGCAUCUAAUGGGUAAUGGUUUGUUGAUUGUGUAACUUCUCUGACAGGAUUAUGGUGGAUUAUUCUGUUGAGGGCUUACGGAAAGAUAACUGGUGACUAUGGAUUACAGGAGAGGGUGGAUGUUCAAACAGGCUUGAAAAUGAUUCUGAACUUGUGCUUAACUGAUGGGUUUGAUAUGUUUCCAUCUCUUUUAGUCACUGAUGGUUCCUGCAUGAUAGACCGGCGGAUGGGUAUCCAUGGUCAUCCCCUUGAGAUCCAAGUGAGUUACAAGGCUACUUUGAAUAUUUCUUAAGGAUGCAUUCAUCACUUUAUGUUCUUUCUGUAUUCUGCAAAGUAAGAGGCUACUUUGCUUGGUUUUAUUACUGUAAGUGUAACCUUCUUGAACAUGAAUUCUGAAAAUUGUUAAAACUAGACUUUUUAAGAAUACUGGGCUGUGUCCUGCCCGUGCCCUUUUGUAUGAUAUUACACCAGUUUUAUGGUUAUUUUUAUUCUUAUUUUAGCCUUGUAUUACGAAUUUUAACUCUCUGUAAUAAAGUUUGUUUAUGGCACCCAGCGUUUGGCUAAUUUCAUUAUGCUGAAUGAUUCUUCAGGCCUUAUUUUACUCGGCUCUUCGAUGCUCCCGUGAGAUGCUUGCUGUAAAUGAUGGAUCCAAGAAUUUGGUAAGGGCCAUCAACAACAGACUCAGCGCUUUGUCAUUCCACAUCAGAGAAUACUAUUGGGUGGAUAUGAAAAAGAUGAAUGAGAUAUAUCGAUAUAAGACAGAAGAGUACUCUACGGAGGCUACCAACAAGUUCAAUAUCUACCCUGAUCAAAUUCCUCUAUGGUUAAUGGACUGGAUUCCAGAAGAAGGCGGGUAUUUUAUUGGCAAUCUACAACCAGCCCACAUGGACUUUAGGUUUUUCACUCUUGGAAAUCUUUGGUCCAUUGUUUCAUCAUUGGGUACUCCAAAGCAAAAUGAUGCUGUAUUGAAUUUGAUUGAAGCCAAAUGGGAUGAUCUUGUGGGCCAUAUGCCACUUAAGAUAUCCUACCCUGCCUUGGAGUUUGAAGAAUGGCGUAUAAUCACUGGCAGCGACCCAAAGAAUACGUGAGUUAGCUGCCUGUUUAUAUUUGCUAGUUGUCUUGUUCUAGCAUCUAAUUUGUUCAUGAUCAGUUUAUCACUGAAAUAUGUUUGUCUUGACUCCUACAGCCCAUGGUCAUAUCAUAAUGGCGGAUCCUGGCCGACGCUCCUGUGGCAGGUAACCUUUGCUUCAAUAACACUAUAAAUAUUUUGUGUAAUGCUCAAGAAUAAUGACUUUUUUAUGAAGUUAGAUGUCAUGAUACUAUCAUCGGCCUCCUUUGUUAUUGGGUCGGAAGCUGUUACAGUUUACGUUGAGUUUUUUUGUUCUUGGUUUUCUGUCUAAAAUGCUUUUUGUAUCCUAUUUCAGUUCACAUUGGCAUGCAUCAAGAUGGGCAGAAUCGAACUAGCUCAGAAAGCAGCUGCUUUGGCUGAGAAGAGGCUUCGUUCUGACCGCUGGCCCGAAUACUAUGAUACAAGGACAGGGAAGUUUAUUGGAAAGCAAGCGCGGCUUUACCAAACAUGGACCAUUGCUGGGUUCCUUACAACUAAAAUGCUGUUGGAGAAUCCAGAGAAGGCGGCCUUGCUAUUCUGGGACGAGGACUACGAACUUCUUGAGAUCUGUGUUUGUGCACUUAGCAAGAGUGGCCGGAAAAAAUGCUCCAGAGGCGCCGCUAAGUCUCAGAUUCUUGUAUAACGAGUCCCAUUCUUUCAAGGGCAGAAAGUUUGGCCUUUGUACUGUACAGCGACACGUUUAGAAUAGCGUACGAAGAAGUUGGAUAGCGCAGAGUACUCCGAUUCAAAAUAUAGCAUGAAGGAUGUAUUUUUUUCAUGCAUCUGAUACUUAUUAUUUGUUUGGUCGUCCGAUUAAUCGGUCUAAGUUGAUCGGAAUACACAAUUACGGUGGGAAAUAUGUACUUUGUAACAAUUACCACAUGUCUACUUGUAUAACAGUUACAUGACUCUAUCUUAUACAUUACCUUUUGGUUAUUGUUUAUUGAUACUUUUACCUGAGUUAUUUUAUUUAUUUAUUUUUUUCGUAUUUUUUAUACAAGCGAUAUUAAGGCAUGGAGAAUUGAGCUUCAGUCUAAGAUUUGUUUGAGUCACGUUAAACUUCAAAUAUUUAUAGUUUUAAGCCACUGUGGUUCGGUUGUGGUUUGGAACUAGGCGUGUUGAUUGUUAUGAAUUAAGGUUCGAAUGAAAGGGCUCUCCUCUCUCCCUCGGUCUCCCUCCUCCCUCACACACACACAGGCGCAGAUUUGUACAACAAACUAUACAGUCUCCUAAUAUUUAUAGUUUUGUUCGUCAAAACAAGUCUUAACCCCACAAAAGCGUCUUCCCCCAAUCUAAACAAGCAGAGCUUACGAACCACGGCGAAGGCGGUGCAUCUCCUGCAGUCUCAUAUAGUCCUUAAUGGACAAGGUCGAAGCAUGCCCCCUCCCGUCAUCCAGCACUCGACGCCCGACUGUUGCUUCGAUCCUUUGUUUCCUCUCCAUGUAUGCAAUCCCAGCGCCCUGAGGUCCACCGUACUUCUGCAGUGGAGCCAACGAAAAUGGCAGCUCGAAGUUGUGCAGCAUAUUUGUUUCUGUCCCUUUGUCCACAGGAGCACUUGUAUCAACCAACUUCCCUGCACCUGCUGCUGCUUCCAAUGCUGCCUCUGUUGCUUGCAUACCAAGCUGUCCCGCUACAUUUGCCUUUUCCUUGUUGCUGCCCUUACCAGUAGUUCCAUCUGUUGCUUCAGCAGCUUCAUCGCCUCGUUCAGCAGCAGCUCCAUCGCCUCCUCCAGGCCUUGCAACAUAAUAAUUUCUCGAUUGAGUCCAUCUUCUCGAGAACGGAUCAUAACCAGCCUCCCCUGAUUUCAGAUUCAUAUUCACUGGUUUCAACCCUGAAGCAUUUUUAAAAUUCUCGACCCUGUUCUUCCUGUUCAUUUCAGCUAAUCGAAUAGCUUUGCUAUCUUUCCCCUGAGUUUGCCUGGAUGCUUCUAAUUCCUGGAGCCUUGUCUUGAUCCUCUUAGCUUCUUCCUCGUCGCCUUUACUUUCUGCAACAUCCAACUGCCUCCUCAAUCGUUCCUUCUCAACUGCAAUGUUAACGGGCCUUGCUGAGGCCUUUUUCUCCUGCAACAUUUGCUUCACAGUAGUUGCCGAGUAAAUAAAUGAAUUUGAUUUCAGAAGAGCCUCCUUCUUUUCUAAUACCUCCUGUUUACUUGGCAUUUGGCCAGCGGUACGCCGCACUUCCUUAAACCACUGUUCAAACUCGUUCUCCUGCGGAGGAGAAUCUGAGACAUUAGCCAUCGGCCAUUUGGAAGCAGAACUUUCGCUGCCAAAAACACAAUUCAAAUAUUUAUGUGUGACUUUAUCCUCUAGCUUAUACUCCCGGCCAGGAUUUGUGGCAUCCACAUUCUGAACCAUGCAGAGCCUGUAGACAGAACCUUCUGAUGAUCUGCCACAUCCAACCCUAACAAAGCAGCCCCCGAUUAACUCCUCAAAAAAUGGUUCCAUGACCCAUUUUCCAAGUUUUGACCUUGGUAUGGUAAUAUCCCUUAUGUCCUGAAAUGUGGGUGCCUCUGAACGUUCCUCAUCGCUGUCAAAGAAUUCAUCAUCCGCUUCCUCUUCAGUAGGCAACCUGUCCAGAGUCUCGAUUUGACUGGAGCAACUCAUAUUACGCUUGCUUGGUGAUAUAUCCUGGCUACCUGCACCUCCUUUUGACGCGUCCCUCAACUUAUGGUGAUCCUUUGAGUCUUGUUGCUUCAGACGUUUUGCUCGUAAUUUAUUCAAUGCAUCAUCCAUAGUGGCUGACUUGUCAGUAGCCCUGGCUGAUGAGCGUACACCGCGAGAGAAUGGAAGAGGAUCCUCUUUCCUUGAUUGUGUAGAUAUAGCAUUGCCUCUUUUUGAUCUCAACUUUUCCAUGAAAUCCUUGCCGCCUUUCUUCUCUGCUCUACUUGUCAAAAUCAUCUCUCUUUCAAGUUCACUCAUUGCUGCAAGCCGUUUCCUGUCAGCAUCAUUCUUGUAAAGAUCGGGGCCAAUAUCAGAUUCAUCACUACUUUCACCCUCAUGAUCAGAACCAUCAUCACUAGAAUCAUGUUCUUUGUCACUGCCCCUUUCAGUAGGUUCAAACCUCUUCUUCAGAGGUACUUGAGAGGGCUUCUUGCUUCCAUGAUCAUCAUCUUCAUCCAUGGAGUUACUUCCAUCAUCAGAAUAGGAACCUCCAUGUUGCUUUCUAGAAGAUGGAAGCCGGUACUGCUUUUUCCCAGCUGAACUAGUUCUUCCUGCUGCCUCAAGGAGGUCACUUUCCAAUUCUAAGUCUGACAUCCCCGUUGUCGGUGUCUCUGCUACAGAUGUCUCUCCUCAAUUGGUUGUAAGAGCGACUAGCUCGGCCACAAGAAGAAAGAUUAGCAUAUACUUGGGAGAUGUUUCACUAAUAUAACAUAAGAACAUGAAAACAAACUGCCAAAUAAGAAUUGUAUUCGAGUUACAAUUGAUGAUGGUAAUCUAUGCCCGUCUAGGAAAACCAACUUAUCGCAGUAUUAGAGUGGCACGCAGAAUCUUUCUCAAAGUCUAUGAUAGCAAUGCAAGUGAAGUUGACAUCACACUGAAAGAAGAUAUUCAGUAAAAGUAUCGUGCACAUAAAUACGAAUCCUUGAUUCUUUCAUUUAAGAAAUGGUCAUAACAAUGCCGUUACACAAACAAUUUAAAACAUCGUAGCAAUUCCAUAAUUUGCACUUUAAGGAUAGAUCUUACCAGUUUAAGCAUUAAUCAAAAACUCAUACGCACACUGUAUAUACGUGCACAAGCGCGUGCACACGCACCAUAAGAAAGAGAGGUAGAAAGCAGGUUAACAAUGCAACCGUUAUCUCACUACGUGGUUAAUCAGAACAAAAAUCUUUAUGAGACUAACCUAGACUUUCUCAGAAAAGAGCAAUACGCAGAUUAUCAAAUACAUUCUACAUGCUCUUUUCUCUCAUAAUUUAUUAACAAAAUCGUCCCACAAAUCCCACCUCAUUCAACUGAUAAGGAAAGUGGCAAACAUGACAAACAGUUACUAGUUUCUACUUCGAGAUUAAUUCACUUUCCACAUAAUUUACUCUCUUCGAGGAUUCCAAAUCCGAAUGGCCCUUCAAUAUAUACUAAAGUCAAGGUUUUCAGACAUGCUAAUCAAAAUGCCACCUAAGUUGCUAGCAAAAACAGUUUUCUCAGUUCGCCUAACGAAUAUUACAAAGACAACAUCAGAAGGAGAAAACAAAAUCAACAUCGAUAAUUGCAUGGUUGUAAAAACAAAUUGCAAAAAUAAAAAUAAAAAUCUUUUCUCGGACAAGAAAUCGGGGAAAUUACAAAGGUAGCCAACUUUGAAACUUGUUGAACACUUUUAGCCAACUUAUGCAUUCAUGCUCUUCUCUCAUAAGUUAUUAAACAAUCGUCCACGAAUUCUACCUCAUUCAACUGAUAAGGAAAUAGACAAACAAGACUUUCCAAAUGCUUACAGAAGUCAAGACUACCCAAAGUAUAAUCACAAUUCCAUCUAAAUUUCUAGCACUAACAGUUUCCGAAAUCCACCUACUAACAUUACAGAGAGAAAUUUAGCCACCUUCUUUCGGAUUUUAGAACUUUAACCACUCGAAGGGGUUUCGUGCACUCGAGGGCACCCGAUCAAAUAGUGUUUAUGGCAGUUCUCAGUGCUUGCAGUCACGCUGGCCUCGUUAACGAAGGCUUGAGAUAUUUCAAAUCAAUGAUAAGUGAUUACAAAGUUACUCCAGAUCAGGACAUUUAUGGGUGUGUGGUGGAUUUGCUAGGUCGUGGCGGAAGAGUUGAGGAGGCUUAUGAACUAAUUGAGAGUAUGCCAUUUAAGCCGGAUGAGUCUGUUUGGGGAGCAUUUCUCGGAGCUUGUAAAGCACACGAGCUUCCACAUUUGCGAAAAGUGGCUGCUCAGAAGUUAUUAGAGUUGACACCAAAUAUGGUUGGCACGUAUGUGAUGCUGUCAAAUAUUUAUGCAGCUGAAGGCGAAUGGGGGGAAUUCGCAAAUACGAGGAAGAUGAUGAGAGGUAUGGGGAAUAAGAAAGAGGCAGGACAGAGUUGGAUUGAGGUAAGAAACCGGGUUUAUAGUUUUGUUGUGGGAGAUAAGGUGGGUUCUCAUAUAAACUCGGUGUAUGGAGUUUUGGAAGUUCUGAUUUCGCAUUUGAAAGCGGCAGAGCACAUAAAUGAUUUAGAUUGCUCUAUACAUGACCUAGAUGAUGGAACUUGAACAGAAGCUGAAGUCAAGGAGUUGAAACAUGUUUCCAACAAAAACAGAAGGAUAUUAUUUGAAUGUCCAAAGAUUCUAGUCAACGAAUAUGAUACUGGACAGCCUAGGGAGGACCGGGAAGGACGCAAACCUGGUGUACAAAUUAUUGUGCCCAGAGUAAACGCUGGGUAGCCAAGUGUGGAGCGAAUAGCUGCUGAAAGCCUAAAAGCACAAAGUCAGUUCAAGACCUUUCUUGCAAGGGGGAGACUAGCUUUGCUUAUUUAAAGCCAAUAGAAGCAAUAGGAAUUGUUAAGAAAAGGAAGAAUUCAUUGUUCAAUAAAGUUGAUAGCUUUGUGUAAGUGGAGAUGUAAAAUAUGCAAUUUCUGGUACCAAUUAGUACUUCGGCUUCCAUCUGAACAAAAAGAAUGGAGAGUUCUUCAUUGAGCUAUGGCAAACCUGCAAUGUUAUAAGAGCAGAACGAACAUUAGCAGCAAUAAAUCUGAAAGAAUAAAAAAACAACUUUUUAACGUCUACUGUAAAGAAUUGCUUCGUUAUCUCACUGCAGUACAAGGUCUCUUAAAAGCAACGCUCACAAGUUUCUAAAGGUAAACGUUGCUCAUCAUUACAUUGAUUUGUUUGCAAUCUCUAGCAUGUUGCAGGUAAAAUCAAGUCAAAGUUUUGCUGAUAAAUGUUAUAUACCAGUUCAGCUGCAUUUUCCACUUGUAUUGUAGCCGUGAGUAACUUUGCCUUUUGGUGAUACGCCCAAUCAUUUCAUUUGUGAUGUGUUUUUCAAACACCCAGUGUUCAUCCUCUUGUCCAACAUCAUAUGCGCGUGCACUGCUGCCAUCCUUCACCUCUUGAAGGCUUGGAGCUAGUAUCUCCAUUGAUUCUCUUUGCCGAUGAGCUAUAGUGUGUUGUCUCCGCACUUAGCUUGAAUGAAAAAGCAGAAUGUUGGGUGUCACCCCAUGUCUUUGCAGUUCUAGGUAGAAUGGAGAAGUUCUUCUAACCAACUUCGGUCUGUCAUACAUUCAGCUACCAGAAAUCAUUGCAAGAGCAAGAUCCCUGCUUAAAGUGGUGAAAGAGGUGCCGAUCCCUCACCACUAUAUCACGAUCAAAAGCUUUUGAGAUCAACUUUGCUGCCAUGUGACAAUCAUUACAUAUUCGCAAAUUCUUCAUUAUUCGUAUAGGUGAUGGUGGACUGAUAGCGAUAAGACCAAAGGCAAUUGCAAGUUUCUCACUAUGCCUGGACAGAGCGGUUUCCUUCUCUUCUUCAUCAAUGUCAAAGGAAACCUCAUUCGUAUCUGGUGCGUAACCUUCCUUCUUCAAUCUCUUAGCUAUUUCAUCCAACAUAGCGUCAAUCUCUUUUAUUCGAGGGUGUUUCUUAUCUCCUGCUAGAAAUUCAUGAACUACUCCGUCUGCUUCAAUCAUGCUACAACCCGGGGUCUUUACCACCCCAUGUUGCAUCAUUGUUCCCCUAAUCUCAUGAACAUCAUCCCAGUUACCUUUUGAAGCACAUAUAUUGGACAACAAUACGUGGAACCCGUCAUGGUCAGGCUCAAGCUCAAUGAGCUUUCUUCCUAUCCUCUCGCCCCUAUCAUGGUCUCCGUGUUUCUUACAUGCCCCUAGUAAGGCACCCCAAGUAGCAACAUCCGGCAUCAUAGGCAUACUCUCAAUGAGUUCCUCUGCCUCCUUGAGCAUACCCGCACGUCCCAAAAGAUCAACCAUGCAUCCGUAAUGCUUAACAUUGCGUUCUAUCUUGUGUUCUUGGACCAUGGAAUCAAAAUGUCGACGCCCCUCAUUUACUAACCCCAUGUGUCGACAAGCUCCAAGAACUCCUAUAAAGGUUAUCUCAUCAUCUCUGAAAAUGUUUCAAGUGACUUCUCCACCAAGCCAUUCAUCGCCAACCCAAGAAUAAGAGCAUUCCAAGAAGAAACUCCCUUUUCUGAAGUCCCCUCAAAAACCUCCAAAGCGUUUUCCACACACCCACAUUUCAUGUACAUGUUUAUAAGGGUAGUGCCCAAAAAGACAUUAAUCUUGAGACCAUUUUUCCUUAUAUAAGCAUGAAUCCACUGGCCUAAGUCAAGGGCGGCCAAUUGAGUGCAAGCUGAUACAACACUCACCAAAGUGGUCUCAUCGGGCCUGAUUCCAAGAAGCUGCAUCUCCUGAAACAAUGCCAAAGUUUCUGAGAACCGGUCUUGUUGAGCAUAACCUGAUAUCAUUGCACUCCACGACACGAUAUCCUUCUCGGGCAUGGAAUCAAAUAAAGUCCUAGCGUUUUCAACUAAACCACAUUUCAAGUAGCCUGAUAUCAUUGAGUUCCAUGAUAUCUGAUCCAAGUUGUAGGCUGCAUUGAACAGUUUUUGCGCGGCCAUUAUUUCCCCACAAUUCGAAUACAUGUGAAUAAACGCAUUUUGAAGAUUGACAUAACUUUCAGUUCCAAUUUUCACUACUAAUCCAUGGAUCAAUUUCCCUGUCUGGACAGCUAACAAGUUUGCACAUGCCGAAAGAACAGUGACAAGCACAACCUCAUCCACCAUAACUCCAUUGGCAACCAUUUCCAGAAACUUAGCCAAAGCCUCCUCAUACAUCUCAUUCUGCUCAUGACAAGAAAUCAACGCGCUCCAUGAAACCAUAUCUUUCUCGGGCAUUUCCUCAAACAACCGGCAAGCCUCAUUCACGCAACCUGUCCUGCCAAACAACACGAUCAUAGAAUUCGAAGCAAUGGUGUUCCUCUCCGGCAUCUGAUCAUAUACAAACUUCGCCUUCUCCACAUCCCCUGCCCUCACAUACCCCGCCAGAAUCGAAUUCCAAGCCACCGAAUUCAACACAGGAAUUUCAUCAAACAACUUGCGUGCGUCCCCCAUGUUCUCACAAACAGCAUACAUAUUGAUCAACGUGUUCUGAACAUAAACAUCCGAAUCAAAACCGGUCUUGAAAACAUGAUCAUGUAUCUGUUUUCCUUCAAAACCCGAAACCCGAAUAGCGCAGGCUUGCACUAAAAGCGGGUAAGUGUAAUGGUCAGGACCGGCAUUCUUCUCCAGCAUCAGUUUAUAAAGCUUCAAAGCCUUUUGAGGACGGUUUCUCUGUACGUAAGCUCUCAUCAUGGUGUUCCAAAUAAACCCAUUUGCGUCGUCGAUUCGAUCGAAGAUUUUCAGGGAGAAAUCGACGUGGACGAAGUGUGAGUCGGUGCAGAACUUGAGGAUUCUGCUUGCGGCAUAUGUGUCAUUGAUGAAGCCGGUAAGGAUCAUCUGAGAGAGGAUUGGAUUGAAUUGCUUGAGAUUUCGGCAUUUCGGCAAAUGGGUUUCCAAGAUCGAGAGAUUUAUGCUUGGUUUCGACAUGGGUUUGGGAUUCAAAGUCGAUUUCGCGGCUAAAGUUAGCGGCUUUAAUUUGUAUAAAUUCAUAAGGGGAAGAAAAAAGCUUGAAGAAAGACCCUAGUGUGACAGUUCUUGGUAAUACUUUCCGUCUCCUUUUCUUCAAGCCCGCCAAUCUUCAUCCAUUUAAAUAUUGACACGUCCAGUUUAGUAAUCAAACUUGAUUCAAUGGUUGCGAACUAGUAAAGGACUUAUAUGAAAUCAAUAUUAUUUCUACUUAAUCAAACUUGAUUCAAUUCCGAUCCCAUUCCAAUCCGGGCAAACUAGUAAGACUCAUACGAAAUCAGCGUUAUUUUAUUUUUACUAUAAAAUAUGGCACAUGUACACCGUUAUGAUAGGUUCUGUGCUCAUAUCACACAACUUAGGGAACAAAUCUGAUAUCACAUUUUAUAAACAAUUUUUGGCACACAUUUUUGUGAGGCUUUAUUUAGUAAUGUAUUUUAAUGAUCUGAAUCGUUUAUCCUUUAAAUAUUCCUUCAAAAAACUAAAAUUCACUCAAAUUUGAAGUUAGAUGAUUGUUGGAUUAACGGUUUGAGGUUUUUUUGUAUAAGCGUAAUCAUUCAUUUUCAUUAUUACAAAUAAAUAUUUUAAUGAUUUUGAAUAUGUGUAGUUAAAAUACAUUACGAAAUAAGCCCUGAUUUGGUACUGAGGUUAUUCUGAAAAAAAUGGUUAUCAAAAAAACUGAGAGCUUUUUUAUGUUUGGUAAACAUUCAGCUUCAGCUUUUUUCACAAUUUUGGAUGAAAAAAAAACCCAAAACACAAAGCUGCAAAACCUAGCUUUGAAAAACCAGUUUUUUUUCACAUUUAUUUUACAUAAAAGCUUAUCAAACACUAUAAUGCUGCUUUUUGUUUUCAAAAACACUUUUACAAAAAAAUUUACCAAAAACUCUACUGCUUUAUUUCACAGCACAACAAAAGCAGUUUUUUUCAAAGCAAAACAAUAUCAAACCAGCCCUAAAUUUAACAAAAAAAAAAUGUAUGUCAAAAAUUAUUUAAAAAUAAUAAUUGGUGUCAUUAUCUAGGAAGCAGAAAGUGAAAAGGCCACAGAAAAAAGCUAAAAGUGAAAGGCCAACUAAACAGUGAACUUUUUCCGACUCUGAAAUUAAGCAUCAACCCCAAGAACCCCAGAAUGCCCCCGAAACGCAGAAACAAACCCGACCCGCAUUUCGACACCCGAUCCCCCGGCAAGAAACGGGCAGCUCCUCUGGAAGAAAAUGGAGGAGAGGUAAUAAAAUCCUUUAAUUUCUGAUUACUUGGUCUUUAAUUUCUGAUUACUUGGUUUUUUCAUUGUUUUUUGUCAGUAGAAUUUUUUUCUAGGCUAUGCUGCAUGCUGGUAUCAUCUGUUUGGUUUGAAAGAAAAUAGCCCAAAGAAUGUAUUUUUCUUUCAUUUUGUUGGAAAUUGACUGAGGAGUGAGGACUCAAACUUUUUUCCCUUUCAAUAUAUCUGGAUUUUGUAUUUUUAUUUUUUACACUUAUAUCUUGAAGUUUGAGCAUAUAUGAUAUUCAGUUUUUUUAACGAUCAAUUGUAAAAGGUGGAAACUUUAUGCAGAAUGUAUGUUUAUAUAGCUAGAAAUAAGUGGGAAUUCCUGUUCUUGAGCCCUAAUUUGAUCAAAUGUAAUUUGGGUAAAAGUUUGCAAGGGAUUUCUUGAUUGGGAAUGUGGGAUCACUUACAUAAAUACAGUGAUUGAAAAUCAGUAGAGCAGGACCCGAGUUUGAAUCAUUCUCUGUGGAUUAGAGUAGUUUAAAAUAUUGCCUUGUCAAAAAGAAAAAUAAUUGAGGUUCGAUUAUUUGCUCCAUUAAACUCGAGCACUUGAUUAUUGUCUUGAUAUUUGGAUGAUUAUGAUUCAAAAGAGAAUAGAAAAUGAUAAAUUUGCAGUCUUUCGAGUUUUUACCUUGCCAAAUUUGGUAUGUAAGACUUCAUUUGCAUUAAGUGUCAGAUUUUUCGGGGCACAUUGUUUUCUUUUUACUGUUGGAAUUUUUAUCACAUUUUUGUAUAGUUCACAUUUCACAAGCCCAUAUUUUCUAAAUUUCAGAAAGUGCCGAUUGUAACUCAAGAGAACUUUACCAAGGGAACACCGGUUGAGGUUUGCAGUGACGAAGAUGGUUUCCACGGUGCUUGGUUUGCUGCAACCAUAGUGGAAGCAGUGGGCAGUGACAAGUUCCUUAUCGAGUACCAGAGCCUGAGGACAGAAGAUGAUUCGGCAUUUCUGAGAGAAGAGAUUGAUACCCUGCACUUACGACCUAAUCCGCCAGAAAAUGCUGUUGAGCAUUUCAGUUUGCUUCAAGAGGUUGAUGCUUUGUACAAUGAUGGCUGGUGGGUGGGUAUGAUCUCAAAAGUUCUUAGCGGCUCAAGGUACAUAGUCUACUUCAGGAGCACUUAUGAAGAAAUUGAAUUUCAACAAUCUGAGUUGAGGCUUCAUCAGGACUGGAUUGGUGGCAAAUGGGUUAUGCCUUCGCGGGUAUGAACUUAUACCUAUCUAAUUUCAGCCAAUGCUUUUAUUUCUGAGAGAAACCGACCUACUUUUAUCACAGAGGAUGCUACUGUGGAGGUAUUCCAAGCCAAUCAGCACUGCCACCCGUUUUAACCUUCCUACAUGACAGUACGUGAUUGGCUUGAGAUACCGCCUUAGUAGCAUCACCAUUGCAUGGAAGAUCUACUCCUCAGUGAUAGGGUUGGGAAACUACCUCCGUGGCAUCCCAGGUGUAGGUAGUUUAUGUGAAUCAGUUCGAGAGUUAGGAAAAUGGUUGAGUUCUACUUCUGUAGCAUCUUCCAAAAACACUUGCCAACUUGCAAAAUAUAACAAAGUGAACGAAAAUUUGAAAAAAAAAAUGAGAAGGGACUUGUUCAAAGUUACCACACUACAUUUUUGGCUAAACAAACUGUGGUCCAGGUCUCAAGUUUUGAUCCAAGCCUGAAACCAAAACUUAAAAGCUAACUUCUAUAAGGGUGUAUGAAAGUUGGUUCAAACUUGCCCUAUCAUUCAAUGUUUCAAGCUAAGUGAUGCAUCACAUCCCUGUUUCCAUUACGUAUAGCAUAUGGAUCCGCAUUUAAGCUAAACUUGGAGCCCUAUGCCUAAAUGUCAAUAAAUGGAGAGGUGCUUUUAAAUAUGACCAGCUGAAUUUUUUUGUUCAUAUAUGAAUAAAGAUUUAAGAGAUGCAGCUCCACCUGCCAGCUGAAAACUACUCCAUCUUCUUGUGUGCGGUUUCAGCGCCAAAUGCUGAUGAUAGCAAUGGCUGACUAUGAGCACGGUCAAACAUUUCAUUCUUUCAAAGAUAUAUGUAUUUGAUUUGAGCUUUGACUAAUUGUUGACUGAUUGUGUGUUCUUGACAGGCUUUAAAGUUGUGAUUAGUAAUGACUAAUCACUGAUUACGGGUGAAAAACGAAUGAUUUCCUAAGACUACUUGGAGAAUCAGCUACGAAAUGAUAGAGGGAGUUCACCUUGACCGGUUAUAUAUGGUAGUGGAGGUUAAGUUUCUGUCUUAUGCCUAAACAUUAGUAUUAUCUAGUGAUGAAUUAGCCUAAAAAAUCACUUAAAACUUGGCCAGCUAAUCUAAAAAACCUUGAACUUGUAGCUGGAGAUGUAAUUCUUAUUUUUACCGGCUAUCGGAAUUUGGUAGACUGUAAUUUCCAUUUACUGGAUCAUUUGUUCUAGCUUUCUUUCUGCAUAUGAGAAGGGCUUGCUGUUGCCUCCUUGUCUUUCACUUUGUGGCAAGUGUUGACUGUUCAGUUGGUUAGAACUUGAAAACUUUUCUUUUAUUGUGGUUACAUGCGUACUUGCUGUCCGUCUUUGAAUUUAUUGAACUGCAAUGGUUUCUGCAAUUUGGUACCAAGCAUUGAAUGGGGUAACCGGCUAAAAGCAAACUUCUCAAAUCAAUACAUUUAGUCCUCAGUUUUCCGCACCAUCCUCAAGUGAUGUUGCUGUUCAUCAUUCUAUUUAUCACCGUUGGAUGACUUUGAACUUUAAGAUCUGUGGAGUGGAUACACAUAAAUUUCUAAAGUUAAAUCCAUCAAGUGGUACUAAAUAAGGUGAGUGAGCAUUACCGCUACUUGGGAGUGAUGAGCAAGAAUGCACCCAUGUUUUUUGACCAUAUUUGUAGAUCAAAUGAUAUGGUGGUUGAUAGUUGGAUACAUUCGUUAAUGAUUAAACAAGGAAUUCAACCAUAAAUUGUCGCAUCACGUGGUCUAUAAAAUAUAGUUCAAAUAGAUGAUCUGUUUAGUAGCGGAGGUUAGUCUUUUGAACAGGUAAUUAAACCAUUCAGUGCAAUUAGCUUACAUUUCUUAGAUGCAAAAUGUUUGUUAUUUUGUGCCGUUCUUUGGUCCAAAAUUCAAAAUUUCACUUUAAUGGUUGUUAAUCAUUAAUUUGAAUGUCACAGGAAAUUAAUACUAAUCAAUAAGCAAAUCAUCUUUCUUACUUAACAAGGCAAUGGGAUACCCCUCAUUCAGUUACUGCAAUUUAUUUCAAUUUAUUUUUUACCAAGAGAAUUGUUAUUAGCACUUUAAAAUUUUCAUUUUGCACUCCAAACUUUUUAUAAUUAUAAAGAAAAAUACACUUUGAGUAAUGUAGAAUAAGAUUUUUGAAGUGUAACAAUUUCCUUUCCCAAACAUUGCUUCCCUUUAAUAAAGAAAAACUAAUGAAAAUGGCUUGAAAACUUUGAGUUUUAAUGAUAAGGACAAAAUAAAGGGUAAAGUGAAUAGUACCAGGAUUGAUUUUUUAGUGUAAAAAUAUGAUGUUUCGUUAAAGUGAACAGUACCGGAUGCUUUUCGUUAAAGUUCCCAUUUAAUAAUGCUCUGUUCAAAUAAGAAAUGCGAAAACAGAGUAAUUUUAUUUAUUUAUUGCCCGGAGAUGGAGCAAUUUAAAACAAACAUUCUUAGACCAAAUUAUCAAAGAGACGUUGCAUUUGUUGUCUUCUUCCACCGCUGCAGAUCAAUUUGGAUAAAGCUCUUUCAAAACCACCUAACGUAACGCCUUAAGGGCAAUACCCACACGAAAAAACAAGCACGUGAUCCAGUCAGUUGAUUAAGAUAAUAUAUUAAUCUAGUUAGUUGAUUACGACCAUAAGUUACUCAGUUGACUAAAACGUUGCUCUCUAAUUCAAAGCAUAAACUCCAUAAAUUAAAACAGUUUAAAAACAAAGUCCACUAAAACAGUAUAUCGUUGCUCACUAACUCAAAGCAUAAUCUCGAUAAAUUAGAACAGUUUAAGAUAUCGAAGGCCAUAAUCUAAACUUAAUAAACAAAGAAAUUGUUCAUAAAAAUAGAACUUUAAAUAUUAUUUGAUUAUACAGUACCACUAUUAAAAGGACUUUCACACCAACAAGAACAACAUAAGAACAACAGAAAGGCAAGAAGCCCUACAAAUCCCAAAAGACCCAAAGGCCCUUUACCUCAUCCCUCAAACCUCCACAACUCCCUUGACCUCCUCCUUCACCUCCUUCCCCUUCCCAUCCUUCUCACAAGCACUUUCCUCAACCUCAAAAGCACUUACAGGAAAAGUCCUAAACAACCCAGCAGGGGUCUUGAAGGUGAUCUUCCCAGUUGGAGGGUCAUCAACGUAAAUGUCACUGAGCUGCACCCACACCAAGAGCUCCUUGGUCUUCACCCCUGUCAGCUUCUUGAUCUUGCCCUUCUCAACAAUGGCUGUGACCUCAGGGGCAUAACUGACCAACUUCCCAAUUUUCUCAAACUUGUGGGUGUAGCUCUUCUUCUGUUUGAGCCACACAAAGCCAGUUUCUCGGAUAAUCCCACACUCCUCAAUGUCCUUGAGGGGCAAGAGGCCAUUGGGGAGGGAGAUUUCUGAGAGAAGCUGCUUUGCUUUUUGUUGGCAGAUUUCAUCUCCAUGGUAGAGCUCAUCUGCUUUGGACUUGAUCUCUGCUGUGAUGAGAGAGGACAUUUUGGUCUUUUUCUAAUUUUGUUGGGGAUUGGUCUAUAUUUUGUGAAGGUGGCGAGUAAGUUGAGAGUUGGGGUUGGGAUGUUUGAAGUGGAAAGUGUUGGGGUUUAUGUAGGUGGGGAGAUAGUACUUUGCCCUUGUAGUUUGUCUAAAUCACCAAAAUGCCAUUGGAGUUUUGCCCUUGUAUGUCCAAAAGAAUUGCAAGAUGUGCCAUUUGGGUUUUUUUUUUUUUAACAAACUAUAUUAUUUAUACAUUUUAGGUUUGAUUCCUAAGGUUUAGGGUUUAGGUUUGAUUCCUAGCGCUGGUGAAUCACACGAUGGUAAUCAAAUGGAGGCUAAAAUGUCUUUGUAAGUAUUUCCGGUGCCCGAAAGAGUGGACUGAUAUUGUAAAGCCACCGGUUGAUCUGUUUGAAAAAAAAUAUUUAUCAUCCUUACAUUCAUGCAAAUCAAACGUGAAAUCCAUCCAACCAAAUGAAUACAAAGGAUAACACUCUAAAAAUGUGAUCAUACACACACUCCUUGCUGUACAAAUUUCCCCACAUCCGCAAAAUAAUUAUCACUAAACCAAAAGCUAAUUGGUGAUUGAUUUGAGUUAAGCCCAUGCAACUUAAUCCAUAAACAUCUAACUUAAUCCAUAGUGGUGGAAAUGUGUUGUCAUUACAUGACGACGUGAGUUCGAAUCCCGUCGGUAGCUAAUUUAACAUCUAACUUGAAGAGUAGGGGCCUUUAGGAUCCAUCAUGCACACAUUUGGAAAUGGAUCCUCUUCAGAUCCCUUCCUCCUAAUCCACAAAAUUAGGGAAUCCGUUCUGUUAAAAUUUGAUUCAGGGAAUGAAGUUAUUAUAACUUUUAAAGUGAGCCCCUGUUUAUAACAAUUUGAUCAAAUUUUAACAACACAGAUUCUCUGAUUUUGUGGAUUAGGAGGAAUGGAUCCGGUCCAUUUCCCACACAUUUAUGGUGCAGUUGGGAGGAGUUAUGGUGAAAUUAAGGUUGGGAAGAGGGGGGUUGAGGUGUAGCCACUCAUAUAGCUCCACGUCUAUUGUAGUUGGGGAACGGUAACGAGAUGGGAGAAGAACCGGGAAACAAAAUCACGUCCGCUCACCUCACCUACACCCCUUUAAUUAUUCUUUUUUUUUUUUAAGAUUUUAGUACAUGCAACAAUAAAUAAUUCAAAUUGGGUCCCUUCUUUUACUUCAAUUUUGCUGCUACCUCCCAUCCAACCAACUCUUUAUUUGACAUCUAAAGAUUACUAUUUACAGAAAAAGACAAUGACAAAGAAAAAUGUAGUUCAGACGCUGGCCACUGAUCUAAAAGUUUCCGUCUAACGUUAGUUAGGUCUCGUUUAGUGUCGCUAGGUGACUGACUACUGUUAUGAUAAAUUUCUAUUUAAAAAAAUAAGAAAUGACGUAUAAAUAUGCUUAGAUGGUCACUUGGUUUGUCUAAAUCACAACUCUUAUUUAGACAAAAAAUAAAUUAUUUCUAUUUUGAUUUUAUUUUUUCAAUAAAUUGAGAAUUGUUAAAUAUUUGGAUGAACACUCAUUAUAUGUUUGUUCUUUAUGUUUUCAAUAUGCUCUAAUACUUUAAAAUUGGUCUCAUCGGAUAAAUAUUCAUUACGAUGAUAAAGUACACAGAAGAUAGUCCCAUGGUAAAAAAAAAAUUUGAAUUUAACCCUCGUGGUAUAGUCCUUUAGCAAAUUAAUCCAAAAAUGAUUUUUCUGUUAAAUGUCCGUUAAAUAUAGAAAUAAAAUGUACUUUAACGUGUGCACACCUUCUUCUUCCUACUAUAUUUUGCAUGGAUUUGGAUCGCAUCCGGAUCCAAAUUGUGGGAAUUAUAAGGAUCUUCACAUCUUAGCCAUUCAUCAUGCAUCGUGUAGUAAAAAAUUAUUUGACUUUUUUUAUUUAAAAUUAAACACAAAUAGUAUCUGAUGAAAACUGAUCACACAAUAUAUGAUGAACGGCUAGAAUGUGAGGAUCUUUAAGAUCCUCACAAACAAGGUUCUAAAAGACAUUAGGCGCUCGUCGGGUGCGGGUUGGGGCCUAGGUCCUAAGGGGCUAGGCGGGCGCCUCGGCGGACUAGGCGGAUUUAAGUAAAUAUAUUAUAUUCAUGUAAAUAAGUAUAUGUUUAUACUUAAAAUAUAUAUAAAUUCAUCAUAAACUACAAAAUAGAAUGACAUAUAUAUUAUGAAGUAUUAGAACAUAAUGAAAACAUAGAGAACAUGCAUAUAAUGUGUGUUCAUUGAAUUAUUCAACAAGUCUCUUACAAUAUAUUGAAAAAAAAAUAAAAUGAAAAAUGAAAAAUAUCUAUUUUCUAUAUAAGCUAGUUGCAACAUAGGCAGGUCUAGACGGACGCCUUAGCAGGUUUAUGCGCUCUUUCUUAAUUUUCAAAUACUUAAGCAUUAAUCGGAACGGUGACUAACCGUCUAUGCGCUAGACGAGAAUUUUUAGAACAGUGUCCACAAAAAAGAUCCGGAGAGGAUCCUUUUUUUUAAGAUUUUAGUACAUGCAACAAUAAAUAAUUCAAAUUGGGUUCCUUUUUUUACUUCAAUUUUGCUGCUACCUCCCAUCCAACCAAUUCUUUAUUUGACAUUUAAAGAUUACUAUUUACAGAAAAAGAAAAUGAUAAAGAAAAAUGACAGAAAGAAAAUAAAUUUCAAAAUAAAAAUUAUUUAUUUUCUAUUUAAGUGAGUUGAAACCUAGGCAUGUCUAAGCAGGUGCUUAGGAGGACGUCUUAGCAGGUUUAGACGUCAUUUCUUAAUUUUUAAAUACUUAAACAUUAAUCGAAAUGGUAAUUAACCGUCUAUGCGCUAGACAAAAUUUUUUAAAAUAGUGUCCACAAAAAAGAUCCUGAGGAUCUCUUCCUAAUAGAGCAACAACUCAAGAAAGCCGUACAUAAAAAGGGACAGCUAUUCGCACACGCUUGUUCAUCCAAAUCUCCACCGCGCCAUAAGUCGGUCGCCUUUUCCAACACCAAGUGAACGUCUAGUAACAAACAAAAAACAACACGUUUGCACAAACAAAUUAAGCAAAAAAUGGUUCAAGAAUAUGUAAAGAGAUUGUAUUGAUAAAUUAGUUAAUUACCUUGGAAUAAGACUUCUUCCAAUUCACCUUUUCACCGUUCGCCUUUUCCAACACCAAUUCACCGUUCGCCCCAACUUUUUCCCCAAAACAAAAUAUCCUGCAAACCCACAAGAAUGCGGGUCUAAAUUUUUUAAACUAAAUGAUGUGGUUGUUGAUGAUCAAAUUAUUACUUAAGUAUUGAUUAAUGUAAUUAUUUUCUAUUAAUGACACAUCAUUUAAUUAAAAUUUUGAUAUCCCUAGCAUUACCCAACCCACAAAUAUCAACACAAAACCCACUUCAGAAUUUCAAUCAAAAUCCAUAAUUUAAACAAAAAUAUGACAGACGCCCAAAACAAGAACAGCACCGGGAGCCGUGAGCAUCAAGCCAUUGGAUUUGGGGACUAGUGCUUCUGUAUGUGAUGUCACUGCACUCCCAUCACGGUGCACGGCAGCCCCAAUCCCACACCCAGAAACGUGUCAUGGAGAGGUGUGGUUGGAUCAACUCGAUGCCGCCAGAUGUGAACACCAGCAGCGUUUUGGAAUUUGAGAUUGUGAUUCUGAAUGAACUAGGUUGCUGGGAUUCGAAUGUGAGUUUGGUUUUGAGUUUUCUGUCGAGAAAUGGUGAGGUGCGUUUUGAUUGGUGAGGACAUAGCUUGGCCUCUCCGAUGAAGGACCAUGUGCUUGCUGGUAUACAAGAUGCAAAUACAACAUCCUAAAAUGGAAGAAAGUGAGAUUACAAAGAGAGGGAAGAUGAAGGUGUACGGGUCAAAUUACAUUUUUAUUCUGUAUUUAAUGAACAUUUAACUGAAAAUCAACUUUGGACUAAAUUUGCUAAAGUUGCAUACCACCACGAAGAAAAAUGAUGUUACAAUCUAAGGGGAGAAUUUGAGCUUAGACGUUUUUUCAUAUUGAAAGAUGAAUUUAAAAAAAACUAAAUGUUUAUCGAAAGAAAAAUUCAAAUUUAGAUGCAUGACGAUGCAACAGAUUAAUUAUAAUAGAGUUAGUCAAUUACGAUACAAAAGUUGGGCACCAUGAGAAAGGGUCUACAAAUUCCCCCAUUUUGCAAAAAGUAUUACGUAAAUAAAAGUAUGGGACAAGCUUGUAAACUUGGUUUACCCAAAAAGGAUAAAAUGCCCCAUCUCUAUAAAUUUUCUGUCUCCAAGAUAUUUUCUUUUAAGUGCAUGUAUUCAUAAAGUCUAGGAUGAUGUGUUAACUUUUCUUAAUUUGUAAGAUUUUAAUUUUUUUGGAAGUUUUGGCAAUUGUUUUGUUAUUUUGGAUCCGUUUCACAUUAUCAUUUGGUUUGAAGUUACUUAUUUUUCACUACAUUGACUCUUGUCAAUUUAAAUUUCAAAGACAACAUUGUUCGAGCAAAAACAAAUGAACAAACAAAUUUUGUUUUUUGCUUGACUAUAAGGAUGACGAUGACAUUUUUUUUCAAAACAUUUAUACAUCAAAUUGAAUAACAUAAUUUUUACAUCUUAAGUUCGAUUUCUGGUACUGGUGAAUCAUGUACUCGAUGAUGGCAGAGGAGGUUGAAAUGCCAUUUCGGCCUGCAAAAUAGUAGAUUGUCGUAGCGAAGUUACCCGCUAAUCCGUUCUUUAAAAUAAUGAAAUAUUUAUAAAACUUUGCUUGCGAAAUAAGUACGAUAGAGAAGUAAAAUAUUAAUGAUUGUGUAUCAACAUGGCCUCGCAACAUAAAUUAGCACUCAACAUCUAUAAAUGCAUUAACUUUCCAAUAAAUAAUAAGAAUUACUCAUAAAUUUGAGUGUAGCCGAAUUAGUUGAGUAGCUGACGACGUAUUCACCUAAAUUCAAGUCUUACCCUUUUCCUCUAUACCCAUGCCCAACGGCGCCGCCAGGAGCGACGUCGACGCCACCCGUCGGCCCGAAUGACACUGGGCCGGACCCGGUCAACGUGGUGUUGGGCCCAGGCCCAGUAGCUAUCCUAGUUGAAAUGGGGCCCGCCAGCUGCGGCUCUUGAUUGGGCUGAUCCAAAAGAUACGCAGACGUAUCAAGGGUCGGCAUGCAGAGGCCGACAACACCGGCCAACCGGCUACCGGGUCUCUGUGGCUCCGGCUUCAGAACCGACGGCAUAGUGACUUGUCCGUUACCGAAUCUUACGCCGGUCACCUGUUGCACCAUCUGUCGGAAGUUGCUCAGGUCCGCCGUGAUGAAAGUCGUCUGGGACCGUUUCGACGCGGGAGACUUGCGUUUCGAAACCUUACCACUACCAUUCGCCACCGGAAUCGCGUUUCUCUGCUGGCGUUUAAGGGGAGCGGCAGCCGAAUCCAAAUCGUCCGAGCCGGAGAGUCCCGAAACGGUGGGGGUGGGGGCCGCUUCGGGUGUUUGAACGAUGGUGUUGAGAAAAGGCAUGAAAAAAUCGGCGGAGGAAGAAUCGAGCGGCUCCGGGUUGUUUCCGGAGAGGGACUUCUGGGGCGCCAUGGUGAGGGUUUUGGUGUCGCGGGAAAUGGCGUCGGAGAUCCAGGAGUCGGCGAAGGUGUUGGGCCUGAAAGCCCACGGCUCCAUCAUGCUCGCCACGUUCUCUGACGACGCCAUUAAGCAGCUCAAUCAACUAAAAAUUCAAAAUUUAAAACUGAAAAUUUGAAUUUGAGCAACUGGGUUUUUGUGAAAUCAAUCGGAUUUCAGAUCAUUCUUUUCCGUACGCACUUACAGGAAAAGUCCUAAACAACCCAGCAGGGGUCUUGAAGGUGAUCUUCCCAGUUGGAGGGUCAUCAACGUAAAUGUCACUGAGCUGCACCCACACCAAGAGCUCCUUGGUCUUCACCCCUGUCAGCUUCUUGAUCUUGCCCUUCUCAACAAUGGCUGUGAUCUCAG
rnacentral:lncRNA from 1 species